rnacentral:lncRNA from 1 species
UCCUUCAUAUACACUGGAGUACAAUUAAUGCUUUAUAAUGUUCCAUCAUCAUUACAGAAAAUUGACAAUUGUCCAUAACAGUUAACUGAAAUGCAGUACUCACUAGAUCUAUCCAUCACCCUAGAAAAAAAUGCACUCCUAGUACAUGGCUACUACUAUUUUUCUGCUGCUAGGAAAAACAUCACUCAUUGGAAAUGAAAAUCUCAGUACCAGCAUUUUGAACUUUGAAAUGAAAUACAAUAGUAGUACUAGUAGUAUAUGGAGUAGUAUCUUGUAUGUGUGCUAUCUGAAGCAGAGCAUGGAAGCAAGUUUUGAGCAUCGAAAGUUCCAAUAGCCCGUUGCAACAAGUAUUUGUGCAGAGAUAAGCAUGAACAGAGACAAUAACUAUAGGAUUUGUUUGAUGAUAUCUUUUUUAUACACUUACUAAAACAAGUGUGAUACCAAUUGGAUCAUUGUUCACUGUAAUCUUUUCUUUUGAACUGAAAAGGGAGGUCAGUUUUUUCAGAGAGAAAAUAAAUCUGCAGAUUCAACUAAUGAUACUAUGAACUUUUGAUCUGAAAGAACAUGAUCUUGUCAAAUGCAGCAAGCAGAAACAGAGCAAUCUUUUUUCUAUCGAAACAAAAGAAACAAGUUUGUCAACCACAUGAUCUUGUCAAAUUUAGUAAAAGUUUGGGUAUUCGAAACUACUAGUCUGAAAAACAGUUUAUGUGGUCUGAAACUUUUCCUAGUGUGUUUCAGACUUUCAGUAAAAGUUGUUGAAUCAAAUCAGUUCUUUGAUGCUAUUAUGGACAGAUUUAAAAUCCACACUAAAGCUUGAUAUGUGAACUAUUCGUUUUGAUGCUACUGUGCUUUAAUACGAUAUGCCGCUAGUGGAAGACUUUGGAAUUUGAAAACCCAAAUCAGUUCAGUCUGCCUAGUUCAGCUUCACAGAGAUGAUAAUGAUUUCUGUUCUCUAGCUAGAAAUCAAACCCUAGAACACAUCAGAAGGUAUCCUAGGGGGAAGGAGGGGAAGGGGGAGAGGUGAGGAAUCACCUGUUGGAUAACGGCAGGCUGCCGUAGGAGGGCGCCGAGGAGGCGGCGGGCGGCGGCGCAUCGAGGAGGAGGCGGCGCGUCAAGGAGGCGGCGGCGCGUCGAGGAGGAGGCGGCGCGUCGAGGAGGCGGCGGCGCCUUCUUGCUUCCCCGAGCCCUUCCUCGAAGACGGCGAUGGGGGCGCGGGCAGGGGCUGUCGGCGACGGCGACGGAGGGCAGGGCAGGAGCUGCAGUGGUAGGGGGCGCGGGGGCGGCGGAGGCGCGGGGGCAGCGGCGGUGUGGGUCGGGGCAGUGGGCGGAAGUGGAACUGGCGAGAGGGAGGGACGAAGGGGUCGGGCUAGUUAGGGGGGAAGAUUACUAAUGGCGCACCACAUAGCGGUGCGCCAUUAGAAAUCUUUUUUAGAUAGCAAUGGCGCACGCACGAGAGGUGCGCCAUUAGAAAUCUUUUUUUUAGAUAGCAAUGGCGCCCUACCAGACCGGUGCGCCAUUAGUAUGUUUAUUUAUUAUUAUUUUUAAAAAAAUAAAUAUGAAUAUGAAACAGUAAUAUAUUUUUAUAAAAACAGUAAUAAGUGUUGUUUAACAACAAUUGUAGUCUACACUUUAUUAUUAUUUUUUUAGAAAAUGAAUAUGAAUAUGAAACAGUAAUAUUUUUUAUAAAAACAGUAAAUAAUUUUUUAAAAAAUAUCAUCAAAUUUUUUAUUUGAAAAUUUCAUCGGCGANNNNNNNNNNNNNNNNNNNNNNNNNNNNNNNNNNNNNNNNNNNNNNNNNNNNNNNNNNNNNNNNNNNNNNNNNNNNNNNNNNNNNNNNNNNNNNNNNNNNNNNNNNNNNNNNNNNNNNNNNNNNNNNNNNNNNNNNNNNNNNNNNNNNNNNNNNNNNNNNNNNNNNNNNNNNNNNNNNNNNNNNNNNNNNNNNNNNNNNNNNNNNNNNNNNNNNNNNNNNNNNNNNNNNNNNNNNNNNNNNNNNNNNNNNNNNNNNNNNNNNNNNNNNNNNNNNNNNNNNNNNNNNNNNNNNNNNNNNNNNNNNNNNNNNNNNNNNNNNNNNNNNNNNNNNNNNNNNNNNNNNNNNNNNNNNNNNNNNNNNNNNNNNNNNNNNNNNNNNNNNNNNNNNNNNNNNNNNNNNNNNNNNNNNNNNNNNNNNNNNNNNNNNNNNNNNNNNNNNNNNNGUGCGGUGGGUCGUCGGCGGCGAUGGAGCUAGCAGGAGAGGGUGCAGGCGGGAUCGAGAUCGAGAUGAAGGGGGAUAGCGAUCGAGAUAUGGAGGGGGAUCGAGAUCGAGAUGGAGGGGGGAAUCGAGAUCGAGAUGGAGGGGGGAAUCGAGAUGGAGGGGGGAAUCCUCAUGUAAAGGGUACGACAGUAAUGGCGCACUGUGAAACGAUGCGCCAUUAGUAGUUUUGCAAAAAAAAAGAAUAAUUUUUUGACAGUAAUGGCGCACUGUCUGUAUGGUGCGCCAUUACUAGUUAGAACUAGUAAUGGCGCACUGUCUGUCUGAUGCGCCAUUAGUAUGUAUGGAAAAAUGGAAAAAAAAUAUUUAACACUAGUGGCGCACCCCGUUUCUGGUGCGCCAUUAGUGUCUUCCACACUAAUGGCGUAUCACCAGCAGGUGCGCCAUUAGUAUAUACUAGUGGCGCACUACUUCCCUGGUGCGCCAUUAGUAUCAAUCCUAUCUAUAGCCCUUUUCCUAGUAGUGUAUCCGGCGCCACCAAGUUUCACAUGUCAUAGCCACUGCCACAAACCCUAGCAAAUCGGUUUCACCAAUAGGGAUCUCGGUCUCACCGAGAUGGGAUUGCAAUUUCUCUGUUUCCCUUCGUAACGUCUCGGUCCAACCAAAGUGAGUGACGGGUCCCACCAAGAUAGCAAUGUAAACUCACUGUUUCCUUUUCGUAACAUUUAGGUCUCACCGAGAAGAGAGAAUCGGUCCCACCGAGUUUACCUGACCAACUCUCUGGUUAGCUUAUUACCAAAAUCGGUCUCACCGAGUUCGUGUAAUCGGUCACACCGAGAUUACGUUAUGCCCUAACCCUAACCAUAUCGGUCCUACCGAGUUGCAUCUCAGUCCCACAGAAAAUCCUAACGGUCACUAGGUUUGCUAAAUCGGUCCGACCGAGUUUAACGAUUCGGUCCCACCGAGUUUGGCAGAUUGUGUGUAACGGUUAGAUUUUGUGUGGAGGCUGUAUAUACCCCUCCACCCAGUCUUCAUUCGUGGAAAAAGCCACCAGAACAGAUCCUCACUUCUAAUACACAUUUUCUAAGAGAGAACCACCUACACUUGUGUUGAGCUCAAGAUAUUCCAUUCCUACCAUAUGAAUCUUGAUCUCUAGCCUUCCCCAAGUUGCUUUCCACUCAAAUCUUCUUUCCACCAAAUCCAAAUCCUGUGAGAGAGAGUUGAGUGUUGGGGAGACUAUCAUUUGAAGCACAAGAGCAAGGAGUUCAUCAUCAACACACCAUUUGUUACUUCUUGGAGAGUGGUGUCUCCUAGAUUGGCUAGGUGUCACUUGGGAGCCUCCGACAAGAUUGUGGAGUUGAACCAAGGAGUUUGUAAGGGGAAGGAGAUCGCCUACUUCGUGAAGAUCUACCGCUAGUGAGGCAAGUCCUUCGUGGGCGACGGCCAUGAUGGAAUAGACAAGGUUGCUUCUUCGUGGACCCUUCGUGGGUGGAGCCCUCCGUGGACUCGCGCAACCGUUACCCUCCGUGGGUUGAAGUCUCCAUCAACGUGGAUGUACGAUAGCACCACCUAUCGGAACUACGACAAAAACAUCUGUGUCUCCAAUUGCGUUUGAAUCCUCCAAACCCUUCCCUUUACAUUCUUGCAAGUUGCAUGCUUUACUUUCCGCUGCUCAUAUACUCUUUUGCAUGCUUGCUUGAAUUGUGUGAGAUUGCUUGACUUGUGCUAAGAUAGAUAAAAUCUGCCAAGAACUAAAAUUGGGAAAAGGCUAGAUUUCUAUUUGGUCAAGUAGUCUAAUCACCCCCCUCUAGACAUACUUCCGAUCCUACAAAUAGAUCUCCACGAGAGAGGGGGAGAACAUUGUAUUGAGAUCCAAAAAGAGAGAAGAAGCCAUCUAGCUACUAACUAUGGACCCGAAGGUCUGAAGUAAACUACUCACACUUCAUCGGAGGGGCUAUGGUGAUGAUGUAGAAGCCCUCCAUGGUGGAUUCCCCUUCCGGUGGAGCUCCGGAACAGGCCCCAAGAUGGGAUCUCGUGGAUACAGAAGGUUCCAGUAGUGGAAUUAGGUUUUUGGCUCCGUAUCUGAUCGUUCGGGGGUACGUAGGUAUAUAUAGGAGGAAGGAGUACGUCGGUGGAGCAAAGGGGGGCCCAUGAGGCAGGGGGCGCCCUAGGGGGGCGCGCCCUCCAACCUCGUGGCCACCUCCCUCCUUUCUUGACGGGGGAUCCAAGUCUCAUGGAUCUUGUUCGGUGAGAAAAUCACGUUCCCGAAGGUUUCAUUCCGUUUGGACUCCGUUUGAUAUUCCGUUUCUUCGAAACACUGAAAUAGGCAAAAAAACAACAAUUCUAGGCUGGGCCUCCGGUUAAUAGGUUAGUCCCAAAAGUAAUAUAAAAGUGGAAAAUAAAGCCCAAUAUGGUCCAAAACAGUAGAUAAUGUAGCAUGGAGCAAACAAAAAUUAUAGAUACGUUGGAGACGUAUCAGCGACGAGGGUUGCGACAAGGUGGAGCUCAUCUUAUGGGCGAUUCAGGAGGUCGAGUCGGAGAUCCCUGCUCAGGCGGCGAGGUGGGCGUAUUACCGGACAGCGAAUCCCUCGUAGCUCAACAUCAGGCCACCGCGGGUGAAUGUGUUGGCCAAUCUCCCUCUGGGAUCCUUGCCGCCGGGGGUACGGCCACCGGCCCGUCGGAUCUCAUCCUCUCAAGGCGGGCCCUGAUGCAGCAGCGGGCCAUUGAAGGCCCAACAUGGCCAGGUGAUGGUGGUAUGACUCCAAUCCGAAUCCAUGCUUCCUUUCGCAAUUGUUCGAUUGCAUUUUGUGGACGUGUGCUUCGAUCUCGAAAAACUCCAUUUCUACGUGACACUACUAGGGAAAAGCCUAGCAGCAGCGAGGGUUUUGGGCAUCUCAGUAGCGCGGGCACCGGCGCUACUAAUAAGGCGCUACAGCUAACGUAUAGCAGUAGCGCCGGUUGUCCCACGCUACUGCUAUACAUGAAUAGCUGUAGCGCUAUUUUGGAAAGGGUGCUAGUGAUAUUAUCUGCAGCGCUGUUUGCUGGGACGCGCUACUGACAAUGCGGUGCUACUGCUAAAUUUCCCCCCUUGCUACUACUAGUUUAUUUAUUAGUUUUUUUCCUGCAUAUUUGUUUUGUAUUUGAAUAGGCUUUAUACAAUAAUCUUUAGCAUAUACAUACAAUUAGUCUCAUCAAAUCAUGUCAUCAUCAUAAUCAUCAUCCAACACAAAGUGGUCUCUCGUCAUCAUCUCGAAAAUAGCGAUACAAGUCUCGAAUGAUAUGCAAAUACAUCGUCAUCCAUAUAAACAAUGAUAUACGCGAGAAGAGCUAUCACUUUGAGAACAUGAGUUCGUAUCCCUCUUUCGCAUUAGCGUGAACCUCUAAACUAACUACUGCCUGUCGCUUGGAAACCGGAAGGGCCCGACACUCCGGCCACUUGUCGUAUAUAUACUCCUGGCAUAGCACUUCUACGCCAUCUAUGAUCUAUGCACCUGCAUCAUCACAUGAGUCGAUGAUAUGCAACAUAUAUAGUUGAGCAACAGAAAGAGACAGACUUGGCAAAAAUAAAAACAACAUAUCAUAAGCAUAAAUAACAAAGUUCAUCGUACCCCAAAAUGCCCUAACUAGAGUUAUUUUCGCUAGUUGAGGAGGAGGACGGUUUAAUUACAUCACAAAUAAAGUUUCACCAUGCAUAACUCAAAGUUUUGUCAUACAGAAAGUAUGGACUAAACGGACACAUUGUCAUGUAUCGACAAUCACUCCAACAUGUCGUUCCAUCCAUCCAAGUCAGGGAGAUAGUCCCCGAGCCUAGUGAAAGGCUGCAGGCCGAGACGCUGAGAGGAUAUCCAUGUUCGGACGUCUUCCCACGACAUUUGUCCUUCUCCGUAGAACAUCCCUGUUUUUCUGACGACCUCCUUCAUGAUGAUUUGGGCAAGUUCGCGUUGGAUGUUAUAGAACUCAGCUCGAAGUCGAUGAUCCUCGAUAUCUCCUAUGUCCUUUGCCCAUUGCAGAAUAUGGGCAUCGCCGGAAUAAGGUGCCAUGUGAAGGUUCUGGUGAUCCCGUCUAUACUCCAGCAUGUGGUGUAGGACAUAGAAUCCAUCAUUAAGAGAAUCGUCCGGUUGCUGGAUGCAGCAGAAGUCGGUCUUAUGGCCGAAGGCGACCCUGCCGCCCCUCAUCUUCUUGUCCCUGACCUCUCCACCCAGUGAUUGGUAGUGUAACAUAGCACUGUCGAGAACAUCCUUGAUGUGGGUGUAAUCCUUUUUGUGAAUGUUCUUCGACGAGUCCAAGUAAAGAGCGUGGGAGAAUCGGGGGUAGAGGAUGAUGAGGACGGCACGCCCGCCGCUGCGCAAAAUAAGUCCUCAAAUUAAUUAGCCUCCACCGUGCAAAUGAAUGAUUGAAAUAGAAGGAAGGAUAGCAGCGCGGAUGACUUACACGGGAUGAUAAGGCACGAGAAUCGCCCCCUUGUCCUUAUUGGUGAGCAUGAAACUGACGAUGUAAUCCCUCGCGUAUUCACGGUGAUUUGCGCAGACUCCCAAGAAGCCCUCGUGCAUGUAGUACGGGUCAGCGACACAGAUAUGAGAUAUCUGCUCAACCCCGAUGAUGUAGUUCAUGUGCAAGGCAUAAAGGCGGACAAACGUAAAAUCCAGCUUCUUCACGUGAAACAUGUCGAAUAUGUAAUCGAAUCGGAGGAAGAACUUAUCCGCGGGGAAGCUGACGACAUACGACAUUUGCCGCGGAACGUUAACCACGUAGAGUGGGUAUCCUGGAUCUUUCGAGGCGAUGAGGUCUUUCUCUACCCGCAGCACAUCGUCAUGAAGUCUCUUUAGAUCGCCGAAUCUGGCCCGUAGCGCUGUUGCUGGUAGGAUUGGUUGACCGGGGAUAUGCCAUUUAUCCGCAUCGGGGAUAUCUAUACGGUCCUGAAGCCGAGGCUGCUGAGGCGGCUGGAUCAUAGAAACAACUUUUUUGCCUUUCCUCGCUCUCUUCCUAAACUUCUUUACUACCGGAAGGUCAUCCAUAAUAUGUUGAGACGGCAAUUCAGGCACCGACUCAUGACGCUCAAACCCUGAGGAGGCGCCAGUAUAGACAUACUAUUCAGUAGCGCCAUCGUCGUCCUCAUCCUCACCCAUGGCGACGUCAUCAGCGACUAAUGGAGCCUCCUCCUUACCCCGUCCGCUAUCACCCAACCCGACACCCGACGAUAAUUGGGUAGGUGUGGUGUUGAUAUUCAUACCUUGCUGAGGCUGCGUGCUCGUGGGUGUGCUCCCGGCCGCCUCCAGACGAAGCAGACUCUUUGGCCACAACAGGACCCACCCAGCAUUGUAACAAUCACCAAGCCGCCGCGGUGUCUCGUCGUCAUACCCCAGUAGUACUAGAGGAGGCAAAUUCUCGUGGACCGGUUUGACACUGGCCACGGAAACCUUGAAGACGUUCGGGGGGAUCGGCCGGCUGUGGAACAAUGGUUCCUUCGGCUCCAUUAUCGUCGCCUUUCCCACGUCCACCUUCUGGUCGCCGAUGGUGUACAAUAUGGUGCACGGGGUUUCGUCGGCCUGCAAAGAAAAGUCUGUGAUGUGAGACAUCCGAAAGGCAACGAAAACGGGAGAUUAUACAUUUAUAUUGAAGGGGGCCGGUGUGACAGAUACCGUGAGGGCGUCGAGCUCAGCCAAAGACGAAGCACCGCCUAGCACGUCCGGUGCGGGAGCCGGUGCAGGAGCAAGCGCAGCUACAGGUGCUGAUGCAAUGCUAGUCGAGCUGCUCCCCGCCAAGAAGUUAGCAAGGGGAAAGUCCACUGCAUCUUUUUCUGGAUUUUGCCUGCUCCAAUUGAAAACAGUCGGAACCAAGGUAGUAGAUAUAUCUACAGCCACCUAUUUUGCGGCAGCUACCGCUGUUGCGACUGUCUCAGUUGAUUUCUUCUCAACCGCAAUCUCAACCCUCUUGUCGAUGUUUUCUUCAUUUAACCUCCGUCUUUCUUUUCUCUCCUUCGUGGUCUCACGGUAGUAUUUCUUCCACGUGGCGCCGUCUCCGACACCGUGCACGCGUCCAUACGACGGUCGAGUAUCCACCGGUUGUUGUUUCAAUAUGUUCAACGCCCGGUUGAAUGGAGUGUCCCACUUGGGCCUCGCCAAUGCCUCAGACGGCGAGUCGCUUUCGGCUGCAAUCCUGUGCUGCUCUCUCUGCAAAAGGCACAAUGAUCAAUUACAAAUAUGACUAACGUGUGCAGUCAAAUUGAUCAGAAACUAAAAUUACCAGCAGUCUCAUGAACUCCGUAAUGACUGGUGUUGUCUCGUAAACCUUGUUCACUGGGUCCCAACGGUGCCGGGCUCUGAGGAUGUCACGCUCCUGCGGGACAGUGAACUCCGCCAAGGGGUCUGGGAUGCCCAGACUCGCGGCUUCCGCGUCCUCCUUGGCCCAUUUGGACCUCUUUCCGCCGUAACCACGGCUUCCGAGGUGGUGGCUCCCAAAGUUCCUCUCUUGAAGCCACUUCAUGUACUUAGACUUUUUUUGGCAUCUUCGGCCUUCCAAGCCUCCUUGAAUAUUUGAAACUGCUAUUCCGUGAUUGUCGGAUUAUCCUUUACAAUCUCGGGGUAGGGUUCCUUCUUGUCGAUGAUUCUUGCUUUCACUAGAUUUUUCCAGGCGGCCAACGCGUCGCUAAACUUGGUCAUGGCGUGUUUGUUUAUCUUCUUCAUUGCCGGGUCCUCAUCUGGAUCUUUAUAAUCCUUCUCAUUCCGGCCCUGGAACAAGAAUAUCUGGUGAAACUUCUUUAGGAGGGAGCUCCUCAUAUUUUCUAUCUUCUGUAGUUUCUCAUCGUUGAUGAUGGCGGUUGUCCGUACGAUGCAACCUAUUUGAUUGUCGUAGCAUCGACGCGCUUCCUCGGGCGCCGUUGGCUCAAAAUUGCCAUCGUCCACCUCCGUGACCACCACUCUUGUAGUCCUGAGUUUGUUAGGAACCCGUUGCCUCUUUGCUUUCGGUUCUACACCGGCUCCGCUCCCCGAGGCAGCACCGGUCUCAGUCUCGGCACCGGUCUCGAUGCCGGUCUGAGUCUGAGCGCCGGUCUCAGUCUCAGCACCGGUCUGCGUGUCGGUCUCAGUCCCCGAUGCCACCGGUGGGCCCAGCAAUAACAUCGGUUGAUCGUCGGUAAGGCUAAAAAAUUCUUCUGCCGCCCGGUAGGCGUCGUAGCAAUCACUAGAACCCUGUCCUUCAUCGUUGCUAGCCAUGUUUCCUAUGAUUAAAUCUAGUCAAUUAAUUCUAGACCUAAUAAAAUGAAUAAUGACAUAAAAAAGGCCUAUUGUUCUGCAGGAAUGUUGACUCCUUCCUGGUGCGGCUAAUCCCGGGCACUCGAUAUGUCCUAGUUUGUAGCACAAGUCAUGCCGAAAUUCAAGGAAAAUUUCGGCAUGACCUUUGCUAAAAAGUGGACAAAUCGAGAACCUGAAAUUUGCCGGAACAGAAAUGAAUCAACAUUCCGGCAAAACAUAGGCCACUCAGCAUCAUUCCAGCACAAGUCAUAUAUAGUUUGACCAAGUUUUUGAAAAGAAAAAACAAUUCUGUUUUUUGUUUAUAGCUAAAUGCCAUAGCUACUGUUUUUUAUUUAUAGCUAAAUACUUAUGUUUUUUGCCUAAAGCUAAAAGUCUAGGAACUCCAUUUUCUCUAACCCUUCUGAACUCACCAAAAUUUCCACAGGAAGACCUUAGUACCUACACCCAAUUUCUUCAAAAAUAUUCAGGUCCAUAGUCCAAAUAAUUCAAAUUUCAUUUGAAUGAAAUUUGGAACAAAUUUAGGUUCGUAGUCCAAAUAUUUUUUAUAGCUAAGUAUUUUUUGUUUAUAGCCUCUGUUAAUUUAAAUCUAAAUGCUACUAUUAUUUAUAUACCCUCUAUUAGUUUAAAGCUAAAUGGAAUUACUGUUUAGGCAUUUUCAUAAAAAUUGCCCUAGCUACUAAAAAAAUUGCUAAUCAUUUUUCCUAAAUGCUAUAAAAUGCCUACUGCCCUAAAAAAAUCUAGGGUUCAUAUGAACACCUAGGGUUCAUAUGAACAUCAACACAGUAUCAACAUAUAUAUGAAAUUGCCCUAGCAGAGAGAGAGAGGAGGGUAGGGGAUAGUAGAGGCAGAGCCUUACGGUCGGCGGCAAGGGCAGGCUCUGGCUCGGGUGGCGGCGGUGAGGUUGAGGGCGGCGGCGGUGAGCUUGAGGGAGGCGACGGUGAGGUCGACGAUGGCCUCGGCGGCGGCUGUGAGGUCGAGGGCGGCCUCGGGCGGCGGCGGUGUGGUCAAAGGUGGCGGGCGGCGGCGGUGUGGUCGAAGGCGUCCUUGGGCGGCGGCGGUGUGGUCGAAGGCGGCAGGGCGACGGCGGCGAUGGAGCAGUUGGGGGACAGGGGGGCCGGGAGUAUAGAGGGGGGAAAGGACUUAGCGAAAUUUUGAGCUCAGGCUACCGGGAUUUGAGUCAAACUAGCAGUAGUGCGUUUUGCCGAAACGCGCUAUAGCUAAGAUAUCUAUAGCGUGUUCUAGAGAAACGCGCUACAGCUAUUCCAUUCUGUUUUCACACUUUAUUUUAUUUCCGUUAGCAGCAGCGCCUUACACGUAAGCGCGCUAUAGCUAAGGAGAUUAGCAAUAGCGUUGGGCAAGUAUACGCGCUACUGCUAGGUUGGGCUAGCCAUGUGCGCCCAGUUCAAACAUAGCAGCAGCGCUUUUCGCUAGUGCGCGCUACUGCUAAAGUCAUAGCAGUAGCGCGGUUUAUCUACGAGCGCUGCUACUAAGUAGCAGUAGCGCUUGAUUUUGUACAGCGCUACUGGUAAGAUUCUGUGUAUAGGCUUUUCCCUAGUAGUGUGAUGGCAAAUUAUCUGAUGGUGUGAGGAGGGUUCUCCCUCUGAAUAAGGAUUCGGAUUCUGUAGAUGUUGCUGCUUCUGCAGUUACCGAUUCGGUGGUGCCAGGGUGUUCGGCGGUCUCUCUACCGGCAGGCAGUCGUCUGACCGUUGUUGGGGAGACUGUGGAGCGAGUAGAUCAUCUGUCUAGACCUACUCUCUCCAUGCCACUGGGUCCCUCCUUCAGAGGACCACUAGUAGAAAACAGGGCUUUGGUUGAGGCCUGGGUAAGGGCAUUAAUCCCGGUACACUCACGAACCGGGACCAAAAGUUGCAUCAGUCCCGGUACGUGAGGCCAGGGUGCUGCCCGGGCCUCGGGGGCCAUUGGUCCCGGUUCAUCUGACCCCUUUGGUCUCGAUUCCAUACACGAACCGGGACCAAUGGGCCUCGCUCCUGGCCCAACACCUUUGGUCCCGGUUUGUGGCUGGAACAGGGACCAAAGGUUGCCCUAUAAUCCCAGUUUGAGCCAGAAACUGGGACUACAUAUAAUCCUAUAUAUACCCCCACCCUACCCGCGAGCAGAGCCACUGCUCUAUUUUUCUGCCGGUCAUAGGAGAGGUUUGUGGUGCUCUAGCUCACCUACUAUGCACAUGAGGUGUUCGACGAAAUCCCGGAGCCACACUUAAGCUUUCUCCUCUCGAAGCUCCUUGUCCAAGCUCCAUUUUCCUCAAGAUUUGUCUAGGUUUGCCAGUCCAUCCUGUCCCGUCCCCGUCCUCACCGCCAUCGAUCGCCCGCGCCGAUCUCGUCGCCGGCACCACCAUGGUGAGCCUCUUGUUCCUCUCUUUUUUCUAGAAGAAAAAAAAUUCUUACUUGUAUGACUUAGACUGAUAUUUGUAUAAUUUUCUUACUUGGAUUACUAUUUGUUAUUAUAUAGUGUGAUGGUUUUGGUAUCCGCCCACGUCGGCCCUCGUCCCUUCUAUGAUUCGGAUGUGGUAUAUUAUCUUUUAUAACUAUUUGUUUUAGUGUUUAUGACAAUUAUGCCGACCAACGUGAUAUAGAUGUUUCUAGGAGGUAUGUGAACAGGAAAUUCCAACCGACCCUCUUGUGGAGAGAUUAAAUUUAUUUGAAAAGGAAAAUAUUUACUUGAAGAAAAAACUGAAAAGAACCGAGGAGGAGAAAAUGGAAUUGGAGUUGUAUGUUGCGGAUGUCAUCGAUGAUCACAAGAUCAAGAUGGAUCCAAUGCGCUUGAAGAUUAGAAAGAUUAGAAAAUAUGCCAUCCAUACUGAGGCUUGGUAUCAUUAUGCCGUUGGAUCAAUUGUUACCUUAGUUGCGAUUAUGAUCGCAUUUGUUGUUGCAUUGAAAUGUUUUACAUAGUUUCAAUGUAUGGUUUAAUUAGAUGGUCUAUAGAGCUAUAUGUUGUUCAAUGAGAACUAUGUAUGAACUUUAGUUGAGAUGAUGAACUUUUAUUAAUUUGGUCACUUCUCUAUUCAUGAUGUUCUGUCAGGGUUUUUGACACACUUAAUUAUAUAUAAUGCACGCAGAUGAACCGACAAUGGAUGUACGGUGACAGACGCACCUCCGAGUAUAUUAAGGGCGUGCAUAAUUUUCUCGAAGUGAUUGAGUCAAACAAGCAGAAUGGUUUUAUGUGUUGUGCAUGCCCUAGAUGUGAGAAUACGAAGUCUUACUCUGACUUGGAAACCCUUCACAUCCACCUGCUUGAGAAGGGUUUCAUGCCAUACUAUAAUGUUUGGACCAAGCACGGAGAAAGAGGUGUUAUGUGAAGGAAAUAUGCCCUAGAGGCAAUAAUAAAGUUAUUAUUUAUUUCCUUAUAUCAUGAUAAAUGUUUAUUAUUCAUGCUAGAAUUGUAUUAACCGGAAACAUAAUACAUGUGUGAAUACAUAGACAAACAGAGUGUCACUAGUAUGCCUCUACUUGACUAGCUCGUUGAUCAAAGAUGGUUAUGUUUCAUAGCCAUAGACAUGAGUUGUUAUUUGAUUAACGGGAUCACAUCAUUAGGAGAAUGAUGUGAUUGACAUGACCCAUUCCGUUAGCUUAGCACCCGAUCGUUUAGUAUGUUGCUAUUGCUUUCUUCAUGACUUAUACAUGUUCCUAUGACUAUGAGAUUAUGCAACUCCCGUUUACCGGAGGAACACUUUGUGUGCUACCAAAUGUCACAACGUAACUGGGUGAUUAUAAAGGUGCUCUACAGGUGUCUCCGAAGGUACUUGUUGGGUUGGCAUAUUUUGAGAUUAGGAUUUGUCACUCCGAUUGUCGGAGAUCUAUCUCUGGGCCCUCUCAGUAAUGCACAUCACUUAAGCCUUGCAAGCAUUGCAACUAAUGAGUUAGUUGCGGGAUGAUGUAAUACGGAACGAGUAAAGAGACUUGCCGGUAACGAGAUUGAACUAGGUAUUGAGAUACCGACGAUCGAAUCUCGAGCAAGUAACAUACCGAUGACAAAGGGAACAACGUAUGUUGUUAUGCGGUCUGACCGAUAAAGAUCUUUGUAGAAUAUGUGGGAGCCAAUAUGAGCAUCCAGGUUCCGCUAUUGGUUAUUGACCGGAGACAUUUCUCGGUCAUGUCUACAUAGUUCUCGAACCCGUAGGGUCCGCACGCUUAACGUUUCGAUGAUAGUUUUAUUAUGAGUUUAUAUGUUUUGAUGUACCGAAGGUUGUUCGGAAUCCCGGAUGUGAUCACGGACAUGACGAGGAGUCUUGAAAUGGUCGAGACAUGAAGAUUGAUAUAUUGCAAGCCUAUGUUUCGAUAUCAGAAGUGUUCCGGGUGAAAUCGGGAUUUUACCAGAGUACCGGGAGGUUACAGGAACCCCCCGGGAGGUAAAUGGGCCUUAGUGGGCCUUUACGGAGAAGAGGAGAGGCGGCCAGGGCUGGGCCGCGCGCCCCUCCCCCCUAGUCCGAAUAGGACAAGGAGAGGGGGGCGGCGCCCCCCCUUCCUUCUCUCUCUCCUCUUUCCCCCUCCCGAAUCCUAUUCCAACUAGGAAAAGGGGGGGAGUCCUACUCCCGGUGGGAGUAGGACUCCUCCGGUGCGCCUCUCCCCUUGGCCGGCUACACCNNNNNNNNNNNNNNNNNNNNNNNNNNNNNNNNNNNNNNNNNNNNNNNNNNNNNNNNNNNNNNNNNNNNNNNNNNNNNNNNNNNNNNNNNNNNNNNNNNNNNNNNNNNNNNNNNNNNNNNNNNNNNNNNNNNNNNNNNNNNNNNNNNNNNNNNNNNNNNNNNNNNNNNNNNNNNNNNNNNNNNNNNNNNNNNNNNNNNNNNNNNNNNNNNNNNNNNNNNNNNNNNNNNNNNNNNNGGGGCACCCCAUAGACACAACAAUUAAUAUGUUUGAUCUUUUAGCCGUGUGCGGUGCCCCCCUCCACCAUAGUCCACCUCGAUAAUACUGUAGCGGUGCUUAGGCGAAGCCCUGCGUCGGUAAAACAUCAACAUCGUCACCAUGUUGUCGUGCUGACGAAACUCUCCCUCAACACUCGGCUGGAUCGGAGGUAGAGGGACGUCAUCGGGCUGAACGUGUGCUGAACUCGGAGGUGCUGCGCGUUCGGUACUUGAUCGGUCGGAUCGUGACGACGUACGACUACAUCAACCGCGUUGUGCUAACGCUUCCGCUUUCGGUCUACGAGGGUACGUGGACAACACUCUCCUCUCUCGUUGCUACGCAUCACCAUGAUCUUGCGUGUGCGUAGGAAUUUUUUUUGAAAUUACUACGUUCCCCAACAGUGGCAUCCGAGCCAGGUUUUAUGCGUAGAUGUCAUAUGCACGAGUAAAACACAAGUGAGUUGUGGGCGAUAUAAGUCAUACUGCUUACCAGCAUGUCAUACUUUGGUUCGGCGGUACUGUUGGAUGAAGCGUCCCGGACCAACAUUACGCGUACGCUUACGCAAGACUGGUUCUACCGACGUGCUUUGCACAUAGGUGGCUGGCGGGUGUCAGUUUCUCCAACUUUAGUUGACCGAGUGUGGCUACACCCUGUCCUUGCGAAGGUUAAAACAGCAUCAACUUGACAAACUAUCAUUGUGGUUUUGAUGCGUAGGUAAGAAUGGUUCUUGCUAAGCCCGUAGCAGCCACGUAAAACUUGCAACAACAAAGUAGAGGACGUCUAACUUGUUUUUGCAAGGUAUGUUGUGAUGUGAUAUGGUCAAGACAUGAUGCUAAAUUUUAUUGUAUGAGAUGAUCAUGUUUUAUAACUGAGUUAUCGGCAACUGGCAGGAGACAUAUGGUUGUCGCUUUAUUGUAUGUAAUGCAAUCGCCUUGUAAUGCUUUACUUUAUCACUAAAUGGUAGUGAUAGUCGUAGAAGCAUAAGAUUGGCGAGACGACAACGAUGCUACGAUGGAGAUCAAGGUGUCGCGCCGGUGACGAUGGUGAUCAUGAAAGUGCUUCGGAGAUGGAGAUCACAAGCACAAGAUGAGGAUGGCCAUAUCAUAUCACUUAUAUUGAUUGCAUAUGAUGUUUAUCUUUUAUGCAUCUUAUCUUGCUUUGAUUGACGGUAGCAUUAUAAGAUGAUCUCUCACUAAAUUUCAGGAUAAAAGUGUUCUCCCUGAGUAUGCACUGUUGCCAAAGUUCGUCGUGCCCAGACACCACGUGAUGAUUGGGUGUGAUAAGCUCUACGUCCAUCUACAACGGGUGCAAGCCAGUUUUGCACACGCAGAAUACUCAGGUUAAACUUGACGAGCCUAGCAUAUGCAGAUAUGGCCUCGAAACACUGAGACCGAAAGGUCGAGCGUGAAUCAUUUAGUAGAUAUGAUCAACAUAGUGAUGUUCACCAUUGAAAACUACUCCAUUUCACAUGAUGAUCGGUUAUGGUUUAGUUGAUUUGGAUCACGUGAUCACUUAGAUGAUUAGAGGGAUGUCUAUCUAAGUGGGAGUUCUUAAGUAAUAUGAUUAAUUGAACUUUAAUUUAUCAUGAACUUUGUCCUGGUAGUAUUAGCAUAUCUAUGUUGUAGAUCAAUUGCUCUCAUUUAGCUCCCUGUUUUAUUUUUGAUAUGUUCCUAGAGAAAACUAAGUUGAAAGAUGUUAGUAGCAAUGAUACGGAUUGGAUCUGUGAUCUAAGGAUUAUCCUCAUUGUUGCACAGAAGAAUUAUGUCCUUGAUGCACCGCUAGGUGACAGACCUAUUGCAGGAGCAGAUGCAGACGUUAUGAACAUUUGGCUAGCUUAAUAUGAUGACUACUUGAUAGUUUAGUGCACCAUGCUUAACAGCUUAGAAUCGGGACUUCAAAGACGUUUUGAACGUCCUGGACCAUAUGAGAUGUUUCAGGAGUUGAAGUUAAUAUUUCAAGCAAAUACCCGAGUUGAGAGAUAUGAAGUCUCCAACAAGUUCUAUAGCUAAAAGAUGGAGGAGAAUAGCUCAAGCAGUGAGCAUGUGCUCAGAUUGUCUGGGUACUACAAUCGCUUGAAUCAAGUGGGAGUUAAUCUUCCAGAUAAGAUAGUGAUUGACAGAAUUCUCUAGUCACCAUCACCAAGUUAGUAGAACUUCGUGAUGAACUAUAGUAUGCAAGGGAUGAUGAAAAUGAUUCCUGAGCUUUUCAUGAUGAUGAAAUCGAUGAAGGUAGAAAUCAAGAAAGAGCAUCAAAUGUUGAUGGUUGACAAGACCACUAGUUUCAAGGAAAAGGGCAAAGGGAAGAAGGGGAACUUCAAGAAGAACGGCAAGCAAGUUGCUGCUUGAGUGAAGAAUCCCAAGUCUGGACCUAAGCCUGAGACUGAGUGCUUCUACUGCAAAAAGGACUGGUCACUGGAAGCGGAACUACCCCAAAUAAUUGGUGGAUAAGAAGGAUGGCAAAGUGAACAAAAGUAUAUUUGAUAUACACGUUAUUGAUGUGUACUUUACUAGUGUUUAUAGCAACCCCUCGGUACUUAAUACUGGUUUAGUUGCUAAAGAGUAGUAACUCAAAACGGGAGUUUCAUAAUGAACAUAAACUAGUUAAGGAUGAAGUGACGAUGUGUAUUGGAAGUGGUUCCAAGAUUGAUAUGAUCAUCAUCGCACAAUCCCUAUACUUUCGGGAUUAGUGUUGAACCUAAAUAAGUGUUAUUUGGUGUUUGUGUUGAGCAUGAAUAUGAUUUGAUCAUGUUUAUUGCAAUACGGUUAUUCAUUUAAGUUAGAGAAUAAUUGUUGUUCUGUUUACAUGAAUAAAACCUUAUAUGGUUACACACCCAAUGAAAAUGGUUCGUUGGAUCUCAAUCGUAGUGAUACACAUAUUCAUAAUGUUGAAGCCAAAAGAUGCAGAGUUGAUAAUGAUAGUGCAACUUAUUUUUGGCACUGCCGUUUAGGUCAUAUCGGUGUAAAGCGCAUGAAGAAACUCCAUACUAAUGGACAUUUGGAACCACUUGAUUAUGAAUCACUUGGUACUUGCGAACCUUCACUCAUGGGCAAGAUGACUAAAACGCCGUUCUCCGGAACUAUGGAGCGAGCAAUAGAUUUGUUGGAAAUCAUACAUACAUAUGUAUGUGGUCCGAUGAAUGUUGAGGCUCGCGGCGGGUAUCAUUAUUUUCUCACCUUCACAGAUGAUUUAAGCAGAUAUGGGUAUAUCUACUUAAUGAAACAUAAGUCUGAAACAUUUGAAAAGUUCAAAGAAUUUCAAAGUGAAGUUGAAAAUCAUCGUAACAAGCAAAUAAAGUUUCUACGAUUUGAUCGUGGAGGAGAUUUUUUGAGUUACGAGUUUGGUCUACAUUUGAAACAAUGCGGAAUAGUUUCGCAACUUACGCCACCUGGAACACCAUAGCGUAAUGGUGUGUCCGAACGUCGUAAUCGUACUUUACUAGAUAUGGUGCGAUCUAUGAUGUCUCUUACUGAUUUACCGCUAUCGUUUUGGGGUUAUGCUUUAGAGACGGCUGCAUUCACGUUAAAUAGGGCACCAUCGAAAUCCGUUGAGACGACGCCUUAUGAAAUGUGGUUUGGCAAGAAACCAAAGUGGUCAUUUCUUAAGUUUGGGGCCGCGAUGCUUAUGUGAAAAAGCUUCAACCUGAUAAGCUCGAACCCAAGUCGGAGAAAUGUGUCUUCAUAGGAUACCCAAAGGAGACUAUUGGGUACACCUUCUAUCACAGAUCUGAAGGCAAGACAUUCGUUGCUUAGAAUGGAUCCUUUCUAGAGAAGGAGUUUCUCUCGAAAGAAGUGAGUGGGAGGAAAGUAGAACUUGAUGAGGUAACUGUACCUGCUCCCUUAUUGGAAAGUAGUUCAUCAUAGAAACUAGUUCCUGUGACGCCUACACCAAUUAGUGAGGAAGUUAAUGAUGAUGAUCAUGGAACUUCAGAUCAAGUUGUUACUGAACCUCAUAGGUCAACCGGAGUAAGAUCCGCACCAGAGUGGUACGGUAAUCCUGUUCUGGAGGUCAUGUUACUUGACCAUGACAAACCUACGAACUAUGAGGAAGCGAUGAUGAGCCCAGAUUCCGCAAAAUGUCUUGAGGCCAUGAAAUCUGAGAUAGGAUCCAUGUAUGAGAAUAAAGUAUGGACUUUGAUUGACUUGCCCAAUGAUCGGUGAGCCAUUGAAAUUAAAUGGAUCUUCACGAGGAAGACGGACGCUGAUAGUAGUGUUACAAUCUACAAAGCUAGAUUUGUCGCAAAAGGUUAUUGACAAGUUCAAGGUGUUGACUAAGAUGAGAGUUUCUCACUCGUAUCUAUGCUGAAGUCUGUCCGAAUCAUGUUAGCAAUUGCCGCAUUUUAAGAAAUCUGGCAAAUGGAUAACAAAACUGCAAUCCUUAAUGGAUUUUUUAAAGAAGAGUUGUAUAUGAUGCAACCAGAAGGUUUUGUCAAUCCUAAAGGUCCUAACAAAAUAUGCAAGCUCCAGCGAUCCAUCUAUGGACUGGUGCAAGCAUCUCGGAGUUGGAAUAUACGCUUUGAUAAGUUGAUCAAAGCAUAUAGUUUUAUACAGACUUACAGUGAAGCCUGUAUUGUCAAGAAAGUGAGUGGGAGCACUACAACAUUUCUGAUAAGUAUAUGUGAAUGACAUAUUGUUAAUCGGAAAUGAUGUAGAAUUAUUCUACAAAGCAUAAAGGAGUGUUUGAAAGGAGUUUUUCAAAGAAAUACCUCGGUGAAGCUGCUUACAUAUUGAGCAUCAAGAUCUAUAGAGAUAGAUCAAAACGCUUGAUAAAGUUUUUUCAAUGAGUACAUACCUUGACAUGAUUUUGAAGUAGUUCAAAAUGGAACAGUCAAAGAAAGAGUUCUUGCCUGUGUUACAAGGUGUGAAAUUGAGUAAGACUCAAAGCCCGACCACGGCAGAAGAUAGAAAGAGAAUGAAAGUCAUUCCCUAUGCCUCAGCCAUAGGUUCUGUAAAGUAUGCCAUGCUGUGUACCAGAUCUAAUGUAUACCCUACACUGAUUUUGGCAAGGGAGUACAAUAGUGAUCUAGGAGUAGAUCACUGGACAGCGGUCAAAAUUAUUCUUAGUGGAAUAACGAUAUGUUUCUCGAUUAUGGAGGUGACAAAAGGUUCGCCGUAAAGGGUUACGUCGAUGCAAGUUUUUACACUAAUCUAGAUGACUCUAUGUCUCAAUCUGGAUACAUAUUGAAAGUGGGAGCAAUUAGCUAGAGUAGCUCCGUGCAGAGCAUUGUUGACAUAGAAAUUUGCAAAAUACAUACGGAUCUGAAUGUGGCAGACCCGUUGACUAAACUUCGCUCACAAGCAAAACAUGAUCACACCUUAGUACUCUUUGGGUGUUAAUCACAUAGCGAUGUGAACUAGAUUAUUGACUCUAGUAAACCCUUUGGGUAUUGGUGACAUGACGAUGUGAACUAUGGGUGUUAAUCACAUGGUGAUGUGAACUAUUGGUGUUAAAUCACAUGCUGAUGCGAUCUAGAUUAUUGACUCUAGUGCAAGUGGGAGACUGAAGGAAAUAUGCCCUAGAGGCAAUAAAGUUAUUAUUUAUUUCCUUAUAUCAUGAUAAAUGUUUAUUAUUCAUGCUAGAAUUGUAUUAACCGGAAACAUGAUACACGUGUGAAUACAUAGACAAACAGAGUGUCACUAGUAUGCCUCUACUUGACUAGCUCAUUGAUCAAAGAUGGUUAUGUUUCCUAGCCAUAGACAUGAGUUGUUAUUUGAUUAACGGGUUCACAUCAUUAGGAGAAUGAUGUGAUUGACAUGACCCAUUCCGUUAGCUUAGCACCCGAUCGUUUAGUAUGUUGAUAUUGCUUUCUUCAUGACUUAUACAUGUUCCUAUGACUAUGAGAUUAUGCGACUCCCGUUUACCGGAGGAACACUUUGUGUGCUACCAAACAUCACAACGUAACUGGGUGAUUAUAAAGGUGCUCUACAUGUGUCUCCAAAGGUACUUGUUAGGUUGGCGUAUUUCGAGAUUAGGAUUUGUCACUCCGAUUGUCGGAGAUGUAUCUCUGGGCCCUCUUGGUAACGCACAUCACUUAAGCCUUGCAAGCAUUGCAACUAAUGAGUUAGUUGCAGGAUGAUGUAUUACGGAACGAGUAAAGAGACUUGCCGGUAACGAGAUUGAACUAGGUAUUGAGAUACCGACGAUCGAAUCUCGGGCAAGUAACAUACCGAUGACAAAGGGAACAACGUAUGUUGUUAUGCGGUCUGACCGAUAAAGAUCUUCGUAGAAUACGUGGGAGCCAAUAUGAGCAUCCAGGUUCCGCCAUUAGUUAUUGACUGGAGACGUGUCUCGGUCAUGUCUACAUAGUUCUCGAACCCGUAGGGUCCGCACGCUUAACAUUUCGAUGACAAUUUUAUUAUGAGUUUAUAUGUUUUGAUGUACCGAAGGUUGUUCGGCGUCCCGGAUGUGAUCACGGACAUGACGAGGAGUCUCGAAAUGGUCGAGACAUGAAGAUUGAUAUAUUGGAAGCCUAUGUUUGGAUAUCGGAAGUGUUUCGGGAGAAAUCGGGAUUUUACCGGAGUACCGGGAGGUAAAUUGGCCUUAGUGGGCCUUUACGGAGAAGAGAAGAGGCGGCCAGGGCUUUGUCGCACGCCCCUCCCCCCUAGUCUGAAUAGGACAAGGAGAGGGGGGUGGCGCCCCCAUUCCUUCUCUCUCUCCUCUUUCCCCCUCCCGAAUCCUAUUCCAACUAGGAAAAGGGGGGAGUCCUACUCCCGGUGGGAGUAGGACUCCUCCGGCACGCCUCUCCCCUUGGCCAGCCGCACCCCCCUUGCUCCUUUAUAUAUGGGGGCAGGGGGCACCCCAUAGACACAACAAUUGAUCUGUUUGAUCUUUUAGCCUUGUGCGGUGCCCCCCUCCACCAUAGUCCACCUCGAUAAUACUGUAGCGGUGCUUAGGCGAAGCCCUACGUCGGUAGAACAUCAACAUCGUCACCAUGCCGUCGUGCUGAUGAAACUCUCCCUCACCACUCGGCUGGAUCCGAGUUCGAGGGACGUCAUCGGGCUGAACGUGUGCUGAACUCGGAGGUGUCGUGCGUUCGGUACUUGAUCGGUCGGAUCGUGAAGACGUAUGACUACAUCAACCGCAUUGUGCUAACAUUUCCGCUUUCGGUCUACGAGGGUACGUUGACAACACUCUCCCCUCUCGUUGCUAUGCAUCACCAUGAUCUUGCGUGUGCGUAGGAAAUUUUUUGAAAUUACUAUGUUCCCAACAUUAUGAUGGAAGACAACGAAGAAGAAGAGGAUGAUGACAACUAUGUGCCCCCUGAAUAUGGUGAUGCUGCAACGGGGGAAGCUGGAGAUCAAGAGGAACCAGACGAUGUGCCCAAUGAUGAUCUUCGUCGGGUCAUUGUUGAUGCAAAGAGACAAUGCAAAACUGAAAGGGAGAAGUUGAAGUUCGAUCGCAGAUUAGAGGAUCAUAAGAAAGGGUUGUACCCAAAUUGCGAAGAUGGCAACACAAAGUUUGGUACCACACUAGAAUUUCUGGAAUGGAAGGCAGACAAUGGUGUAUCUGACAACGGAUUUGAGAAGCUACUGAAAAUAUUGAAGAAGAAGCUUCCAAAGGAUAACGAAUUGCCCGACGGUACGUACAGAGCAAAGAAGGUUCUAUGCCCUCUAGGAUUGGAGGUGCAGAAGAUACAUGCAUGCCCUAAUGACUGCAUCCUCUACCGCGGUGCAUAUGAGGAUUUGAACGCAUGCCCGAUAUGUGGUGCAUUGCGGUAUAAGAUCAGACGAGAUGACCCUGGUGCUGUUAACGGAGAGCGCCCCAGGAAGAGGGUGCCUGCCAAGGUGAUGUGGUAUGCUCCUAUAAUACCAUGGUUGAAACGUCUGUUUAGAAACAAAGAGCAUGCCAAGUUGAUGCAAUGGCACAAAGAGGACCAUAAGAAAGACGGGAAGUUGAGAGCACCCGCUGACGGGUCGCAGUGGAGAAAAAUCGAGAGAAAGUACUGGAAGGACUUUACAGGUAAAGCAAGGAACGUAUGGUUCGGUUUAAGCGCGGAUGGCAUUAAUCCUUUUGGGGAGCAGAGUAGCAAUCAUAGCACCUAGCCCGUGACUCUAUGUAUCUAUAACCUUCCUCCUUGGUUGUGCAUGAAGCGGAAGUUCAUUAUGAUGCCAGUGCCCAUCCAAGGCCCUAAGCAACUCGGAAACGACAUUGAUGUGUACCUAAGGCCAUCAGUUGAAGAACUUUUACAGCUGUGGAAUGGACAACGUGUACGUGUGUGGGAUGAGCACGACUAGCAGGAAUUUAACCUACAUGCGUUGCUAUUUGUAACCAUCAAUGAUUGACCUGCUCUCAGUAACCUUUCAGGACAAACAAACAAGGGAUACCACAUAUGCACGCACUGUUUAGAUGACACCUAAAGUAUAUAUUUGGACAAAUGCAAAAAGAAUGUGUACCUGGGGCAUCGUCGAUUUCUUCCGACCAACCAUGAAUGUCAAAAGAAAGGCAAGGCAGAUCACCGGAAGAAGCCCGCCCUCCGUACUGGUCAUCACAUACUUGCUAUGGUCAAUGAUUUACAAGUAAUCUUUGGAAAGAGUCCCGGCGGACUAUCUGUUCCGAAUGACGCUAAGCGACGCGCACCCAUGUGGAAGAAGAAAUCUAUAUUGUGGGACCUACCCUACUGGAAAGGCCUAGAGGUCCGCUCUGCAAUCGACGUGAUGCAUAGGACGAAGAAUCUUUGCGUGAACCUGCUAGGCUUCUUGGGCGUGUAUGGGAAGACAAAAGGUACACCAGAGGCACUGGAGGACCAGCAACGUGUGCACGAAAAAGACGCCAUGCCUCCAAAGCAGUAUGAAGGUCCUGCCAGCUAUGCUCUUAUAAAAGAAGAUAAGGGAAUCUUCUUUGAAUGCCUGCUCAGUAUGAAGGUCCCGUCUGGCUUCUCGUCGAAUAUAAAGGGAAUAAUAAAUAUGGCAAAGAAAAAGUUCUAGAACCUAAAGUCUCAAGACUGCCACAUGAUUAUGACGCAACUACUUCCAGUUGUAUUGAGGGGGCUUCUACCGGAAAGCAUUCGAUUAGCCAUUGUGAAGCUAUGUGCAUUCCUCAAUGCAAUCUCUCAAAAGGUGAUCGAUCCAGAAAACGUACCAAGGUAAGGAGUGAUCUAGCGCAAUGUCUUGUCAAUUUUGAGCUGGUGUUCCCACCAUCCUUCUUCAAUAUCAUGACGCACGUCCUAGUUCAUCUAGUCGAUGAGAUUGCCAUUCUAGGCCAUGUAUUUCUACACAAUAUGUUCCCCUUUGAGAGGUUCAUGGGAGUCUUAAAGAAAUAUGUUCAUAACCGUGCUAGGCUAGAAGGAAGCAUCUCCACGGGCCAUCAAACAGAGGAGGUCAUUGGGUUUUGUGUUGACUUCAUUCCUGACCAUAAGAAGAUUGGUCUCCCUAAAUCGAGGUAUGACGGGAGACUGACUGGAAAAGGCACGCUAGGAGCGGACUAAAUAAUAUGUAGGGACGGGCAUUCUUGGUGUCAAGCACACUACACCGUUCUACAGAAUUCUACCUUGGUGACCCCGUAUGUCAUUGAACACAAAAAUAUUCUGCACUCCAAACACCUGGAGCAGUGUGAUGACUGGAUUACAUGUGAACACAUCAGGACUUUCGACAGUUGGUUGCAAACACGUCUCAUGGGUGACAACACUGUUUCUGAUGAGUUGUACUCGUUGGCCAGGGGACCAUCUUCGACUGUAUUGACUUAUAAAGGGUCCGAGAUAAAUGGGAAUACAUUUUACAUGAUUGCCCAAGAUCAAAAGAGCACCAACCAAAAUAGUGGUGUCCGCUUUGAUGCAGCAACCAAGAGGGGAAAGGACGCAUAUUAUGGUUACAUGGUGGACAUAUGGGAACUUGACUAUGGACAUGAUUUUAAGGUCCCUUUGUUUUAGUGCAAAUGGGUCAAUCUGUCAGGAGACAGGGUACAAGUAGACCCACAGUACGGAAUGAAAACAGUGGAUCUGAACAAUCUUGGGUACACAGACGAACCAGUCGUCCUAGCCAAUGAUGUGGCGCGGGUUUUCUAUCUGAAGGACAUGUCUACCAAACCGAGAAAAAGAAAAGAUAAGGAAGCGAAUACAUCAUAUGAUGAGACAAAGCACCACAUAGCUCUUUCAGGGAAAAGAGACAUCGUGGGAGUGGAGGGCAAGACAGACAUGUCUGAAGAUUAUGAAAAUUUUCAUGAAAUUCCUCCCUUCAAAGUCAAGGCUGACCCAAGCACCCUGUUAAACGAUGAAGAUUAUUCAUGGUUACGGCGCAAUAAGCAAAGGACACAAGCGAGGAAAAGGUGAAGACUUUCUCUCCACAACUAUUAUGAUGAUGCCUUUGAUCUAGAAUAUCACUCCAGUCACAUGUGAAGAAAUGAAAUCCCUUUUGUAAUAGAUGAGUUUUCGUCCGAAACCCUGAUAUUAUGAAAGAGAUUGUCCAUUUUGUACAUGAAGUGCAUCCAGUUUUUUCCGUAACCCUCUCAACUUUUUCACACAUGCUAAGUGGGUGAAAUGAGGAUACCAUGCCAACUUUCAACCUUUUCAGAGUUCAUUUGUAGUGCUUUUCAAUUUCAUGGUCAUUUAGCUAAACAAAUCAGUAAAUGCAUGAAAAAUACCAAAUGAAGUCAGAAAGGGUUGAAAAUUUAUGAUGUGGCUUUGAAUGGUGCGUUUUGAACACAAAAAAAGUCUAGAGUUCAAAUAAGUUCAAAAACUGAAAUCCCUUUUGUAAUAGAUGAGUUUUAGUCCGAAACCCUGAUAUUUCAAAAGAGAUUGUCCAUUUUGUACAUGAAGUGCAUCCAGUUUUUGCCGUAACCCUCUUAACUUUUUAGCACAUGCUGUGUGGGUGAAAAGAUGAUACCAUGCCAACUUUCAACCUGUCUAGACUUCAUUUGCAGUGCUUUUCAAUUUCUGGGUCAUUUAGCUCAAAAAAUCAAUAAAUGCAUGAAAAAUACCCAAUGAAGUGAGAAAGGAUUGAAAAUUUAUGAUGUGGCUUUGAAUGGUGCAUUCUUAAUACACAAAAAGUCUGGAGUUCAAAUGAUUUCAAAAAAAAUGAAAUCCCUUUGUAAUAGAUGAGUUUUUGUCUGAAACCCUGAUACUUCGAAAGAGAUUGUCCAUUUUGUACACGAAGUGCAUCCAGUUUUUGCCGUAACCCUCUCAACUUUUUAGAACAUGCUAUGUGGGUGAAAUGAUGAAACCAUGCCAACUUUCAACCUGUUUAGACUUCAUUUGCAGUGCUUUUCAAUUUCUGGGUCAUUUAGCUCAAAAAAUCAGUAAAUGCAUGAAAAAUAGCAAAUGAAGUCAGAAAAGGGUUGAUAAUUGAUGAUGUGCCUUUGAAUGGUGCAUAUUGAAUGCACAAAUAGCUAGAGUUAGAAUAUGUUUAAAAAAAUGAAAUCCCUUUGUAUAGAUGAGUUUUCGUCCGAAACCCCCAUACUUGGAAAGAGAUUGUCCAUUUUGUAUACGAAGUGCAUCCAGUUUUUGUCGUAACCCUCUCAACUUUUUAGAACAUGCUAUGUGGGUGAAACGAUGAUACCAUGGCAACUUUUUCAACCUUUUCAGAGUUCUUUUGUAGUGCUUUUCAAUUUCAGGGUCAUUUAGCCCAAAAAAAUCAGUAAAUGCAUGAAAAAUACCAAAUGAAGUCAGAAAUGGUUGAAAAUUGAUGAUGUGGCUUUGAAUGGUGUAUUUUGAACACACAAAAAGUAUGGAGUUCAAAUAAGUUCAAAAAUGUAAUCCCUUUGUAACAGAUGUGUUUUCGUCCGAAACCCUAAUACUUUGAAAGAGAUUGUCCAUUUUGUAUACGAAGUGCAUCCAGUUUUUGCCGUAACCCUCUCAACUUUUUAGCGCAUGCUAUGUGGGUGAAAUGAUGAUACCAUGCCAACUUUUAACCUUUUCAGACUUCAUUUGCAGUGCUUUUCAAUUUCUCGGUCAUUUAGCUCAAAAAAUCAGUAAAUGCAUGAAAAAUACAAAAUGAAGUCAGAAAGGGUUGAAUUAUUUUUGAUGUGGCUUUGAAUGGUGCAUUUUGAACACACAAAAAGUCUGGAGUUCAAAUAAGUUCAAAAAAUGAAAUCCCUUUGUAAUAGAUGAGUUUUCGUCCGAAACCCUAAUACUUCAAAAAGAUUGUCCAUUUUUUACACGAAGUGCAUCCAGUGGGGUGGUGCGGCUCCGGAUGGACCUGGCCAUGGCGCGGUGGCGCUGGUGUUGUGGUGGUGGUGGUGCGUGUUCGCUUUGCCGACGUUUGGUGGGCGGGCAGCGCAGGUUGGGGCAUCGGCCCAGUGUGGUCGUUGCUCCGGCUGUGGGCGGUGGUGGCGGGGUGGCUCGGCUCUCUCGGUGUGGAGGCUUUCAUUCGCCGUGCCGGCAUCACAGCAGCUCGGCAGGCUGUCUGGGACAACGUCUGGCUUUCUGGCAUCAGCUCGUCUAUAGGCGGCCGGUUUCAACCUUUGGUCCUCUCCUGGUCGUCUGGUUGCAACCUUCGUCAAAGGUUCGGCCCUCCCCCUACAAUGGUCCAUCGCUCAUCUGAAGGAAAUAUGCCCUAGAGGUGAUAAUAAAGUUAUUAUUUAUUUCCUUAUAUCAUGAUACAUGUUUAUUAUUCAUGCUAGAAUUGUAUUAACAGGAAACAUAUUACUUGUGUGAAUACAUAGACAAACAGAGUGUCACUAGUAUGCCUCUACUUGACUAGCUCGUUGAUCAAAGAUGGUUAUGUUUCCUAGCCAAUGACAUGAGUUGUCAUUUGAUUAACGGAAUCACAUCAUUAGGAGAAUGAUGUGAUUGACUUGACCCAUUCCGUUAGCUUAGCACACGAUCGUUUAGUAUUCUGCUAUUGCUUUCUUCAUGACUUAUACAUGUUCCUAUGACUAUGAGAUUAUGCAACUCCCGUUUACCGGAGGAACACUUUGUGUGCUACCAAACGUCACAACAUAACUGGGUGAUUAUAAAGGUGCUCUAUAGGUGUCUCCAAAGGUACUUGUUGGGUUGGCGUAUUUCGAGAUUAGGAUUUGUCACUCCGAUUGCCGGAGAGGUAUCUCUGGGCCCACUCGGUAAUGCACAUCACUAUAAGCCUUGCAAGCAUUGCAACUAAUGUGUUAGUUGCGGGAUGAUGUAUUACAGAACGAGUAAAGAGACUUGCCGGUAAUGAGAUUGAACUAGGUAUUGAGAUACCGACGAUCGAAUCUCGGGCAAGUAACAUACCGAUGACAAAGGGAACAACGUAUGUUGUUAUAUGGUUUAACCGAUAAAGAUCUUCGUAGAAUAUGUGGAACCCAAUAUGAGCAUCCAGGUUCCGCUAUUGGUUAUUGACCGGAGAUGUGUCUCGGUCAUGUCUACAUAGUUCUCCAACCCGUAGGUCCGCACGCUUAAAGUUCGAUGAGAGUUAUAUUAUGAGUUUAUGAGUUUUGAUGUACCGAAGUUUGUUCGGAGUCCCAGAUGUGAACACGGACAUGACGAGGAGUCUCAAAAUGGUCGAGACAUGAAGAUUGAUAUAUUGGACGACUAUAUUCGGACACUGGAAUGGUUCCGGGGGUUAUCGAUAUUUAACGGAGUACCGGGGGUUACCGGAACCCCCCGGGAAGCUAUUGGGAAUUAUGGGCCUUAGUGGAAAGGAGAGAGGGAGGCCAAGAUGUGGCGCGCGGACCCCUUGCCCCAAUCCGAAUUGGGAAAGGGAAGGGGGGGCGGCCCCCUUCUCCUUCCUUCUCUCCACCUCCUCCUUCCCCCUUCUCCUAGUUGGAAUAGGAAAGGGGGGGAACCUACUUGGAGUAGGAUUGCCCCUCCUUGGGCGCGCCUCUCCCCUUGGCCGGCCCUCUCCUCCUCCCCCUUUAUAUACGGAGGAGGGGGGCACCCCGGCCAUAGACACAACAAUUGAUCUCUUGAUCUCUUAGCUGUGUGCGGUGCCCCCCCCCCUCCACCAUAAUCCACCUCGAUAAUAUCAUAGCGGUGCUUAGGUGAAGCCCUGCGUCGGUAGAACAUCAUCAUCGUCACCACGCCAUCGUGCUGAUGGAACUCUCCCUCAAAGCUCGGCUGGAUUGGAGUUCGAGGGACGUCAUCGACUUGAACGUGUGCUGAACUCGGAGGUGUCGUGCGUUAGGUACUUGAUCGGUCGGAUUGUGAAGACGUACGACUACAUCAACCGCGUUGUGCUAACGCUUCCGCUUUCGGUCUACGAGGGUACGUGGACAGCACUCUCCCCUAUCGUUGCUAUGCAUCACCAUGAUCUUGCGUGUUCGUAGGAAAAUUUUGAAAUUACUACGUUCCCCAACAGUGGCAUCCGAGCCUGGUUUUAUGCGUUUAUGUUAUAUGCACGAGUAGAACACAAGUGAGUUGUGGGCAAUGCAAGUCAUACUGCUUACCAGCAUGUCACACUUUGGUUCGGCGGUAUUGUUGGAUGAAGCGGCCCAGACCGACAUUACGUGUACGCUCACGCGAGACUGGUUCUACCGACGUGCUUUGCACAUAGGUGGCUGGCGGGUGUCAGUUUCUCCAACUUUAGUUGAACCGAGUGUGGCUACGCCCGGUCCUUGAGAAGGUUAAAACAACACUAACUUGACGAACUAUCGUUGUGAUUUUGAUGCGUAGGUAAGAACGGUUCUUGCUCAGCCCAUAGCAGCCAUGUAAAACUUGCAACAACAAAGUAGAGGACGUCUAACUUGUUUUUGCAGGGCAUGUUGUGAUGUGAUAUGGUCAAGGCAUGAUGCUAUAUUUUAUUGAAUGAGAUGAUCAUGUUUUGUAACCGAGUUAUCGGCAACUGGCAGGAGCAUUAUGGUUGUCGCUUUAUUGUAUGCAAUGCAAUCGCCCUGUAAUGCUUUACUUUAUCACUAAGCGGUAGUGAUAGUCGUAGAAGCAUAAGUUGGCGAGACGACAAUGAUGCUACGAUGGAGAUCAAGGUGUCGCGCCGGUGACGAUGGUGAUCAUGACGGUGCUUCGAAGAUGGAGAUCACAAGCACAAGAUGAUGAUGGCCAUAUCAUAUCACUUAUAUUGAUUGCAUGUGAUGUUUAUCUUUUAUGCAUCUUAUCUUGCUUUGAUUGACGGUAGCAUUAUAAGAUGAUCUAUCACUAAAUUAUCAAGGUAUAAGUGUUCUCCCUGAGUAUGCACCGUUGCGAAAGUUCUUCGUGCUGAGACACCACGUGAUGAUCGGGUGUGAUAGGCUCUAUGUUCAAAUACAACGGGUGCAAAACAGUUGCACACGCGGAAUACUCAGGUUAAACUUGACGAGCCUAGCAUAUGCAGAUAUGGCCUCGGAACACUAAGACUGAAAGGUCGAGCGUGAAUCAUAUAGUUGAUAUGAUCAACAUAGUGAUGUUCACCAUUGAAACUACUCCAUCUCACAUGAUGAUCGGACAUGGUUUAGUUGAUUUGGAUCACGUGAUCACUUAGAGGAUUAGAGGGAUGUCUAUCUAAGUGGGAGUUCUUAAGUAAUAUGAUUAAUUGAACUUAAAUUUAUCAUGAACUUAGUACCUGAUAGUAUUUUGCUUGUCUAUGUUGAUUAUAGAUAGAUGGCCCGUGUUGUUGUUCCGUUGAAUUUUAAUGCGUUCCUUGAGAAAUCAAAGUUGAAAGAUGAUGGUAGCAAUUACACGGACUGGGUUCGUAACUUGAGGAUUAUCCUCAUUGCUGCACAGAAGAAUUACGUCCUGGAAGCACCGCUAGGUGCCAGACCUGCUGCAGGAGCAACACCAGAUGUUAUGAACGUCUGGCUAAGCAAAGCUGAUGACUACUCGAUAGUUCAGUGUGCCAUGCUUUAUGGCUUAGAACUGGGACUUCAACGACGUUUUGAACGUCUGGAGCAUAUGAGAUGUUCCAGGAUUUGAAGUUAAUAUUUCAAGCAAAUGCCCGAAUUGAGAGAUAUGAAGUCUCCAAUAAGUUCUACAGCUGUAAGAUGGAGGAGAAUAGUUCUGUCAAUGAGCAUAUACUCAGAAUGUCUGGGUAUAACAAUCACUUGAUUCAACUGGGAGUUAAUCUUCUAGAUGAUAGCGUCAUUAACAGAAUUCUUCAAUCACUGCCACCAAGCUACAAGAGCUUCGUGAUGAACUAUAACAUGCAAGGGAUGGAUAAGACAAUUCCCGUGCUCUUCGCAAUGCUAAAGGCUGCGGAGGUAGAAAUCAAGAAGGAGUAUCAAGUGUUGAUGGUCAACAAGACCACCAGUUUCAAGCAAAAGGGCAAAGGGAAGAAGAAGGGGAACUUCAAGAAGAACAGCAAACAAGUUGCUACUGAGGAGAAGAAACCCAAGUAUGGACCUAAGCCUGAUACUGAGUGCUUCUACUGCAAACAGAUUGGUCACUGGAAGCGGAACUGCCCCAAGUAUUUGGCGGAUAAGAAGGAUGGCAAGGUGAACAAAGGUAUAUGUGAUAUACAUGUUAUUGAUAUGUACCUUACUAAUGCUCGCAGUAGCACCUGGGUAUUUGAUACUGGUUCUGUUGCUAAUAUUGCAACUCGGAACAGGGACUAUGGAUUAAGCGAAGAUUGGCUAAGGAUGAGGUGACGAUGCGUGUGGGAAAUGGUUCCAAAGUCGAUGUGAUCGCGGUCAGCAUGCUACCUCUACAUCUACCUUCGGGAUUAGUUUUAGACCUGAAUAAUUGUUAUUUGGUGCCAGCGUUGAGCAUGAACAUUAUAUCUGGAUCUUGUUUGAUGUGAGACGGUUAUUCAUUUAAAUCAGAGAAUGAUGGUUGUUCUAUUUAUAUGAGUAAUAUAUUUUAUGGUCAUGCACCCUUGAAGAGUGGUCUAUUUUUGUUGAAUCUCGAUAGUAGUGAUACACAUAUUCAUAAUAUUGAAACCAAAAGAUGCAGAGUUGAUAAUGAUAGUGCAACUUAUUUGUGGCACUGCCGUUUAGGUCAUAUUGGUGUAAAGCGCAUGAAGAAACUCCAUACUGAUGGACUUUUGGAACCACUUGAUUAUGAAUCACUUGGUACUUGCGAACCAUGCCUCAUGGGCAAGAUGACUAAAACACCGUUCUCCAGAACUAUGGAGCAAGCAACAGAUUUGUUGGAAAUCAUACAUACAGAUGUAUGUGGUCCGAUGAACGUUGAGGCUCGCGGCGGGUAUCGUUAUUUUCUCACCUUCACAGAUGAUUUGAGCAGAUAUGAGUAUAUCUACUUAAUGAAACAUAAGUCUGAAACAUUUGAAAAGUUCAAAGAAUUUCAGAGUGAAGUUGAAAAUCAUCGUAACAAGAAAAUAAAGUUUCUACGAUCUGAUCGUGGAGGAUAAUAUUUGAGUUAUGAGUUUGGUCUUCAUUCGAAACAAUGCGUAAUAGUUUUGCAACUCACGCCACCCGGAACACCACAGCGUAAUGGUGUGUCCGAAUGUCGUAAUCGUACUUUACUAGAUAUGGUGCGAUCUAUGAUGUCUCUUACUGAUUUACCGCUAUCAUUUUGGGGUUAUGCUUUAGAGACGGCUGCAUUGACGUUAAAUAGGGCACCAUCGAAAUCCGUUGAGACGACGCCUUAUGAAGUGUGGUUUGGCAAGAAACCAAAGUUGUCGUUUCUUAAAGUUUGGGGCUGCGAUGCUUAUGUGAAAAGCUUCAACCUGAUAAGCUCGAACCCAAAUCGGAGAAAUGUGUCUUCAUAGGAUACCCAAAGGAAACUGUUGGGUACACGUUCUAUCACAGAUCUGAAGGCAAGACUUUUGUUGCUAAAUUUGGACCCUUUCUAGAGAAGGAGUUUCUCUCGAAAGAAGUGAGUGGGAGGAAAGUAGAACUUGAUGAGGUAACUGUACCUGCUCCCUUAUUGGAAAGUAGGUCAUCACAGAAACCAGUUCGUGUGACACCUACACCAAUUAGUGAGGAAGUUAAUGAUGAUGAUCAUGAAACUUCAGAUCAAGUUGUUACUGAACAUCGUAGGUCCACCAGAGUAAGAUCCGCACCAGAGUGGUACGGUAAUCCUGUUCUGGAGGUUAUGUUACUAGAUCAUGACGAACCUACGAAUUAUGAAGAAGCGAUGGUGAGCCCAGAUUCCGCAAAAUGGCUUGAGGCCAUGAAAUCUGAGAUGGGAUCCAUGUAUGAGAACAAAGUGUGGAAUUUGGUUGACUUGCCCGAUGAUCGGAAAGCCAUUGAGAAUAAAUGGAUCUUCAAGAAGAAGACUGACGCUGACGGUAAUGUUACUGUUUAUAAAGCUCGACUUGUUGCAAAAGGUUUUCGACAAGUUCAAGGAUUUGACUACGAUGAGACUUUCUCACCCGUAGCGAUGCUUAAGUCUGUCCGAAUCAUGUUAGCAAUUGCCGCAUUUUAUGAUUAUGAAAUUUGGAAAAUGGAUGUCAAAACUGCAUUCCUGAAUGGAUUUUUGGAAGAAGAGUUGUAUAUGAUGCAAUGGGAAGGUUUUGUCGAUCCAAAGGGAGCUAACAAAGUGUGCAAGCUCCAGCGAUCCAUUUAUGGACUGGUGCAAGCCUCUCGGAGUUGGAAUAAACGCUUCGAUAGUGUGAUCAAAGCAUUUGGUUUUAUACAGACUUUUGGAGAAGCCUGUAUUUACAAGAAAGUGAGUGGGAGCUCUGUAGCAUUUCUGAUAUUAUAUGUGGAUGACAUAUUGCUGAUUGGAAAUGAUAUAGAAUUUCUGGAUAGCAUAAAGGUAUACUUGAAUAAGAGUUCUUCAACGAAGGACCUCGGUGAAGCUGCUUAUAUAUUGGCCAUCAAGAUCUAUAGAGAUAGAUCAAGACGCUUAAUUGGACUUUCACAAAGCACAUACCUUGACAAAGUUUUGAAAAAGUUCAAAAUGGAUCAAGCAAAGAAAGGGUUCUUGCCUCUGUUGCAAGGUGUGAAGUUGAGUAAGACUCAAUGCCCGACCACUUCAGAAGAUAGAGAGAAGAUGAAAGAUGUUCCCUAUGCUUCAGCCAUAGGCUCUAUCAUGUAUGCAAUGCUGUGUACCAGACCUGAUGUGUGCCUUGCUAUAAGUUUAGCAGGGAGGUACCAAAGUAAUCCAGGAGUGGAUCACUGGACAGCGGUCAAGAACAUCCUAAAAUACCUAAAAAGGACUAAGGAUAUGUUUCUCGUUUAUGGAGGUGACAAAGAGCUAGUCAUAAAUGGUUACGUCGAUGCAAGCUUUGACACUGAUCCGGGCGAUUCUAAAUCGCAAACCGGAUACGUGUUUACAUUGAACGGUGGAGCUGUCAGUUGGUGCAGUUCUAAACAAAGCGUUGUGGCGGGAUCUACGUGUGAAGCGGAGUACAUAGCUGCUUCGUAAGCAGCAAAUGAAGGAGUUCAUAUCCGAUCUAGGUGUCAUACCUAGUGCAUCGGGUCCAAUGAAAAUCUUUUGUGAUAAUACUGGUGCAAUUGCAUUGGCAAAGUAAUCCAGAUUUCACAAGAGAACCAAGCACAUCAAGAGACGCUUCAACUCCAUCCGGGAUCUAGUCCGGGUGGGAGACAUAGAGAUUUGCAAGAUACAUACGGAUCUGAAUGUUACAGAACCGUUGACUAAGCCUAUUCCACGAGCAAAACAUGAUCAGCACCAAGGCUCCAUGGGUGUUAGAAUCAUUACUGUGUAAUCUAGAUUAUUGACUCUAGUGCAAGUGGGAGAAUGAAGGAAAUAUGCCCUAGAGGCAAUAAUAAAGUUAUUAUUUAUUUCCUUAUAUCAUGAUAAAUGUUUAUUAUUCAUGCUAGAAUUGUAUUAACCAGAAACAUAAUACUUGUGUGAAUACAUAGACAAACAGAGAGUCACUAGUAUGCAUCUACUUGACUAGCUCGUUGAUCAAAGAUGGUUAUGUUUCCUAGCCAUUGACAUGAGUUGUCGUUUGAUUAACGGGAUCACAUCAUUAGGAGAAUGAUGUGAUUGACUUGACCUAUUCCGUUAGCUUAGCAUGCGAUCGUUUGGUAUUCUGCUAUUGCUUUCUUCAUGACUUAUACAUGUUCCUAUGACUAUGAGAUUAUGCAACUCCCGUUUACCGGAGGAACACUUUGUGUGCUACCAAAUGUCACAACGUAACUGGGUGAUUAUAAAGGUGCUCUACAGGUGUCUCCAAAGGUACUUGUUGGGUUGGCGUAUUUCGAGAUUAGGAUUUGUCACUGCGAUUGUCGGAGAGGUAUCUCUGGGCCCACUCGGUAAUGCACAUCACUAUAAGCCUUGCAAGCAUUGCAACUAAUUAGUUAGUUGCAGGAUGAUGUAUUACGGAACGAGUAAAGAGACUUGCCGGUAACAAGAUUGAACUAGGUAUUGAGAUACCGACGAUCGAAUCUCGGGCAAGUAACAUAUUGAUGACAAAGGGAACAACGUAUGUUGUUAUGCGGUUUGACCGAUAAAGAUCUUCAUAGAAUAUGUGGGAGCCAAUAUGAGCAUCCAGGUUCCGCUAUUGGUUAUUGACCGGAGAUGUGUCUCGGUCAUGUCUACAUAGUUCUCGAACCCGUAGGGUCCGCACGCUUAAAGUUCGAUGACGGUUAUAUUAUGAGUUUAUGAGUUUUGAUGUACCGAAGGUUGUUCCGAGUCCCGGAUGUGAUCAUAGACAUGACUAGGAGUCUCGAAAUGGUCGAGACAUGAAGAUUGAUAUAUUGGACGACUAUAUUCGGACACUGGAAUGGUUCCGGGGGUUAUCGGAUAUUUAUCGGAGUACCGGGGGUUACCGGAACCCCCGGGAAGCUAUUGGGAAUUAUGGGCCUUAGUGGAAAGGAGAGAGGGAGGCCAAGAGGUGGCGUGCGGCCCCCUUGCCCCAAUCCGAAUUGGGAAAGGGAAGGGGGCGGCGGCCCCCCUUCUCCUUCCUUCUCUCCACCUCCUCCUUCCCCCUUCUCCAAGUUGGAAUAGGAAAGGGGGGGCAAACCUACUUAGAGUAGGAUUGCCCCCCCUUGGCCGGCCCUCUCCUCCUCCCCCUUUAUAUACGGAGGAGGGGGGCACCCCAUAGACACAACAAUUGAUCUCUUGAUCUCUUAGCCGUGUGCGGUGCCCCCCUCCACCAUAAUCCACCUCGAUAAUAUCGUAGCGGUGCUUAGGCGAAGCCCUGCGUCGGUAGAACAUCUCAUCAUCACCACGCUGUCGUGCUGAUGUAACUCUCCCUCAAAGCUCGGCUGGAUCGGAGUUUGAGGGACGUCAUCGAGUUGAACGUGUGCAAAACUCGGAGGUGCCGUGCGUUCGGUACCUGAUCGGUCGGAUCGUGAAGACGUAUGACUACAUCAACCGCGUUGUGCUAACGCUUCCGCUUUCGGUCUACGAGGGUACGUGGACAACACUCUCCCCUCUCGUUGCUAUGCAUCACCAUGAUCUUGCGUGUGCGUAGGAAAUUUUUUAAAAUUACUAUGUUCCCCAACAUCAUCUCGCACCCGGCAACAUGACCGACCUCAUCUCGCACACGGCAGCAAGACCGACCUCGUCUCGCGCCCGGUGCCUCGGAUGGGUCGAUGGAGGCCAGUUUUGGCCGACCUAUUGGGUUUCGGCGUUGGGGGUUUUCCAGGGAUGGGAAAGACGGGCCCUUUCCGCCCGUAUCUAUGGUUGGGGUUGCGGUGGGUUUCGAGCGAGGAGGUAUCAAGGUCUGGGAUGCCAGGGCGGCGGCCCUGGUGGUGGUUCCGCGGUGCUCAUGGGUGGAGCCCGUGGUUAGGUGUUGCCCGAUGGCCAUGGUCGUGUGGACGGCAUGGUCGCUGGGGUGUGGCGUCCUGUGGUGGUGAGUGUUGGCCGGUAUGAAAACUGAUCUAUCUACAGACGGACUGGUGGUGGCGAAGCUCUUUUCCUUCUUGAAGGCGUUGUCGUGGCUCUCAUUGCCCGUUGUGUUGCUCCAGGGGAAAUUCUGAUCCCCGGGUCGGGCAGUGGCGGCCCUCUAGUGUCGUAACCUUCCUGAAAGCGCCGCCUUGGAGCACAUGGUUCGUCAUAUGCGGCUUCAUCUCUUCGCGGUGGCAUGCUCACGGUUGAGAACUCCGGUUGCUCUUAUAGUACUAGGGUAGUGUUGCUGCGCUCAGUGCCUUUGUAUCCUGCCUUGGGUGUGUGCGUGUGUUGUGGUGGAGUGCGUCUGCAUCUGAGUUGUGAUCGGUCGGUGUGCUUUAUAUAUAAAGCGGGGCGAAAACCUUUUUGGUAAGUCUUGCAGGACGGGGAUAAACCAAUGCAUAUGGUUCUUAGGCACGUUGUAUUUUUCCCUUCGCAUCCAUGUUUUUUCAGAGAUAUAAACUUUUAGUGCCCAUUUCGAUCUGAUAGUGCAACACUUGUUUUUUUGUGUGAGCUAUGGACCUUGCUGAUUUGAGAAAUGUUCAAGCAAGAUUGGUGAUCCUACGCACAAGUUCCAUGCCUUCCUCUCUACUUGUUGGCGCUGAUUAAGGACCUACAAGGUGCAGCUCAAUAGUUGGUUGUAAAGGAUCUCCUUCAUGGGACUAUGAUGUAUUCAAUGGACGCGGCUAUUCUGCACCGGUUUGAACAUUAAAAUCGUUUUAAAUAGAAAAAAAAUCAAAACAAAAUUGUGAUGGAAGAUGCUAAUGUGCAUGAUGCCUGUGCAAAUUUUGGUGAAUUUUUACUUUUUUUUGCCACGAGCUCCUCGAAAAUCCAAACACCCCAAAAUUUUGGACGAACCUCACACAUUUGAGCAUCUAACAUCACAAAAAAUGGAUUUUUUUGAAUUUUUCUGCUGUUUUAUUUUGUUUUACUGUUCAAUGGGUGUAGAUGAGCCCGGCCACCGAAUUGAAUUAUCCAUAUGUCAUUUUUCUUCUUCACAUAAUUAGCGCACUAUAUCACCAUUGAUCUAGGCUUUGUUUCUAGUAGGAGAAAGAAGACUGGAAGUGGAUGAAGGCCAUGUUUGUUUCAGCUUCAGCAAUUUCGGUUGGCUUCGAACCAGGAUUCACUCCACCGGCAAAGCUGAUUCAAGCUUUACUGCUCCUGGCAAAGCAAAUUCCAAAAAGCUGUUGGUUUGCAUCUAAAAAAAAUAGCUGUUGGUUUCAACUUCUGAUUUUGCCUACUAGAAUAUGCCGCCUAAAGCUGAAACAAACAGGGCCGAAGUCUCCACCGAUCAGUAUGAAGCCUAUGUAAUCGGAGAUCCUGGAACUGACAAGCCAGUCAAGUAUGUUGAGGGACCGACAGCCUACACCUCCAGAGUAAGCAAAAUGCACAGGUAUAAAAGACGGAUGCAUGGGAACAAACUAUUUAUUUUUCACAGGAAUAUAUUGAAAAAAAGAACAUUAGAUGAAUACUAUGUUAAAUAUAUUAACAAAUUAUGAAGCAUAAUAAUGAAGUGUAAAGUAGAUCCCUGUCAACAUCUAGUGUUUUCAAGUGUAACAGACAAUAGCAUGUAUUUUUCCAUAAGAUAAUACAACAAAGCUACAGCUGAGGCGCACCAAUUCUAACAUAGCUGAAGCAUUUCAUGGCAAUACCAAUUGGGCUGUCUCUUUGCAACUGAUCCGGUUAGAACUAAACAUGUUCGUGCGAGUUCCACUGCUUAGGAAUAGGUUUGAUUGUCGUACUAGUCUGAAAAUCUUCAUUCCCUUAAUAACAGACACAAAAACAGAAAUGCUGUACGAAAUAGAAAUACAUAGACAGAUAAAAACUUUUAAGUAAAAAAAGGUCCAUUUCUCAAUAAAUAGAAUUAUAAACAUCAAUCCCAUUAUUCUGAAACCUAAUUUAAAGACAAAUCCAAAUAUGAAGGAAGCAAAGAGUAAUCCCACAAGUCAAAGUAGCACCAACAGAAACUGGAGUAGUUAGUCCUGAAGUGUAACAGUAAUUUCUGAAGCGAAUUGAGGCUGUCAUAAUAUCUCAGAAACCUGCAUUACAAAUAUUUUCAGUUUAGACGACAAGAGCUCACUGUAUUACUAGCAAAACAGAUUUUAAGUGUUAAGAAGAGUUUAUUUACAUGUAUUGGCAUCUCAGCAAUGACGAAUCCACUGGUUUCUUCCAGAGACCUUAGAAGAGCCACCUCACCACCAACCACCAUAUUAAUCACGAUUCCAUCUGCACAAUCAUAGUACAUCAACUAAUCAGCAUUCCAAAAGGCCGAUCAAUUGAUAUUUUCUAAAGUUACCUGUUGCCAAGCAUGCUGAUACACGUCUUAAGUAAGCCUCCUGAAAAAUUUCAGAUACAAACAUCAGGUAAGCCAAAAUGAUCUACAAAUUAGAACCAAUGGUGCACAAUGAAACAUCCUGAAUGCAUGAUAGCACUGAAAGGUAAAAUUUACCAUAAACAGCUACGUGUAUGUUUGCCACAGAAGUCCUGAAGGUAAAAUAUCAUGAAAAAUUAAGCGUGCUCACCUUCUUUGUAGGCAAUUCAUAGUUUAUCAGCACACGAGACAUAAGGGGAGCCUCUCCCAUCGCCGCCGAAGGCAAGCAAGCAUCUGUUACAACUGUAAUAUUUAACUUCAAGACCACGCUUCCAGGCUUGGGACUUUCAUCAAUAGAAGUAUCUUCAAUCUGAUUUCGCUGUAUUGCUGCCCGACGGGAUUUCUCAAGAACAGAUGCACGCUCAGCUUCAUCUUGAUCGCUGUACUGUGUACACAAAUCCACAGAUUGAUAUUAUUAACUAGCAAAAGUACUUCAUAGAAAGGAUCGUGAACAAUCAAGAGAACCUGAAACGAUGUUCAUAUUACUAUAGCAGGGGUAACAGAAAAGCAAGGAAGCCUGGGACCAUUGGAUACAAAACAAUAUCUGCAGUCGCACACUCAUAAUUCCUAGAUGAAGGUGUCAAUAUUAUCAAUGUUCUCUCUUGAAAAAUUAAGCAAUUAACAGUGCAAAUUGUGUAUAUCAUACAAUUAGCUAUCCCACAAUUGUCAAUGAUGCAACCACAAAGCAUAUCACAGAACUGAGCAUGGAAAUUGGCACCCAACCAACUUGAGCAUACCAGCGGUGAUAAGGACACGAAGGGGAGGUUGGCAACAGCAACACAGACAGCAUCUAGCUCAUCCCGGGAUGAAACACAUAUGGCAAUGGGCACCGAGCCAUGGCGAUCAGAGACAACACCUAGGAGCUCCAGUAGUGUCCUCUGCACACCAAAAAUAACCACAGGUUCACAAGAAUAAAAAUCUGGUUCAAUGCGCACGAUCUGUGGCCGCUUAACUGGACACAGUUAUCAGCUGAGAGGAACCCAAAAAUGCACGGUAGCAGGGAUGUCGGACACGCACCAUCUUGAACUGGAGGCAGUCAACGGCGAGGUAGAAAUGGCGCCCGGAGCUGGGGAUGUUAAAGAGGGUUCAUAAGUAGGGUGGGAUGCACAUGUGGCAGAAAGAUCAGGGCAGGGGAUUAUCACCUUGGGUGCGAUAGGGUCAUUGCCUGGGAGCUAGGAGACGUCAUCACGGCCGGAGAGGAAAUAGAAGCAGCGGUGGUGGAAUAUUCGUCAGCAAAGAACAGCAGCGCAACUGUCUAACAGAGAACAGAAUCAAAAAGUAAGGGGCUGCAGCUCUACUUUUUCUUGCUAAGCUUACUCUCGCAAUGAUCUUCUGGAAAUAACUUAAUAGAGAUGGAUAGACGAAUGAUAUGUAUUAACCACAUGGACAUGGUACAGAUAAGCUGAAUGGAAGCGCAUAGAUUAGAAUGAUAUAUCGGAGAAAUCGCACACAACAGAGAGAGCAUAUAUAGCAGCAACGUGAGCACGCCCACGGUCACGAUGCGUAAUUAAGCCGAAUGCCACUCUUAUUUAUGGGGUUCUCUUCAAAGCCUGUACAUCAUCUAUCCAACCAGCUGAUAAAUACUUGCUUUGAUGCAUAAUACGUGGUGACCGAACCAAAGCAAACCAAAGAGGCGCAGAGCCGCGCCAUAGCAAUGCAGAUGCAGAGCGCACAAAAACUAAUCAAGCAGCCAUAGAAAUGUAGCAUCCAAAGCUUGAGGUGUUGAGCUAGUACAGAUUGAUGCAAUGAGCUCCAUCGUGCAACAGAGUGGUACAUUUUCAGGUACAGGCAUAUCCUCUGAUUUUUUUAUCUUUAUCUUCUGGAAGGGAUGGAUUGAUUACCAGAGGAUGACGAGGUCGAAGAGGGUGGCCUGUUGAUGAGGUCCUCGGCGGAGCGCGCGGGCGUGGGCGGGGGCGGAGGAGGUCUUGGCGUCGGCGCCGGCGAUGGUCACGGGUUGAGGCUGGAGCUUCAAUCCGCCGUAGCUGUCGAACCCGCGGACGGCCAGAUGCGUUCGGUGGUGGGGCGGUGAGGAAAUCGCGCGGGGGCGGGGGCCGACGGCAGCGAGGGUGGGAUUGGCGGCGGCGACGGACACUGGUGGGCGGCGGCGAGGGGACGGACUGACGGCGGCAGGCGAGAGGGUCACGGCCUGGUGGUAGGAGCCGGCUUCGUCGGUCCUGUUGGGCUUCCCUCAGGUUGCAGCCCAGGUAAGAAAGAAGUAGCAGGCCGAACCACAAAAAAUAUCUCUGCAAGAAAGACAAUUUUUUUUUAACAAAACAAAACUUUUGUCAUAUUUUUUAUAUUGGUUAAGAAGGGGAAGGUUUUUCAUUAACAUGCGAAGUCUACUGUUAAAAGAACGGAAGUUAUUUGGCUGACGUUCCGUGGGAGGACAACCCCAACGAACUCCCCAUCGCUGUCGCACGGAUCUCGACGCAGUGUGAUGCCACAUCGGAUGGCUGCAGACAUUCGCUGUCUGCCUACUCCCAGCGAACGCUCAUUUCAAUUUAUUUUCCAAAAAAUGCGUAAUGCGCGGGGCGAGAGAGCUCUCGGGAGAUCACGAAGGCUUUUUGCCAUUGGGCCGGAGAGGUGGUUCGUGAAUAUUCGUGUUUAGGCUGACUUUUAUAUAGAACUUGGCAUUUUUUUAAGCUUUUUGUUUCUUAAAUCAUCGAAAAAUCUUGGUUUUUUUAGUUUCUUGAAGGGCAUCUUUAUUUGUAAGAGGAUGACAUUUCUUAUUAUAAGAGGGGUGACAUUUUUAUUAAAAGAAGGUGUAAUAUUUUAUUAUAAGAGGAUUGCAUUUUUAUUAUUAAAUGAUGGCAAUUUUAUUUUGUAAGAGCAUACCAUUUUUUUAUAAUAUGAUAUCAUUUUUAUUGCUAUGAGGAUGCCUUUUUACUAUUUAGGAUGCUAUUUUUAUUGUAAUAGGAUGUCAUUUUUAUUUAUAAGAUAAGAGGAUGACAUUUUUAUUUUGUAAGAGUGUGUCUUUUUUAUAAUAGGAUGGAUAUUUUUUUAGGAUGGCAUUUUUAUUAUAUAAGAGGGUGGCAUUUUUUAUAAGAGGAUGGAAUUUCUCCUUUAAAAGAUAAGGAUGUCAUUUUUUAAUAAGAGGGAGGCAUUUUUAUUAUUAGAGAAUGGCAAUUUUAUUUAUAAGCGCAUGGCAUUUUUAUUUUACAAUAUGAGGAGAAUUUUCUAUUAUUGUGAGGAUGUCAUUUAUUAUUAUUAUUUUAAGAGGGAUUACAUUUUUAGUAUUUUGUGGUGGCAUGUUUUUACUGCCAUUUUAAUAGUGGCAUGGUAGUUUUAUAAAGUAGCAUGGCAUUUUUAGGUUUCAUAUCAUGGCACACAUAAUUUCACAUUUUUCUAUGUUUAGUUAAUAAGAAAAUGUGUAUUUUCAUAACAUUUUCAAAAAGCAGUAAGCUGGCCAUGUGGCCCAACGGGGGUGCGCCCCGGGAAAUUGGGCCAGAUGGCAGUUUACUGCUCUUUUUAAGGGAGUGAUGGCUAGUUAUUGGUGUCCUAAUAGAGAUAAUUACUUGCCUCUUGACGAAGAAUUGAAAAAUACCAAAGAACCCUGAAGCACACAAAGACCCCUCAAGAAAAUAAAAUUACAACUCAACCCAGAAACAUUACAAGAGAGCCCCUCGAAUGGAGAAGUAGAGUGCAAUCGGAUCCAAAUCCAUGGCAAAGCUCACCACCAUUGGGUACGCAACCAGUUGGGGUUGUGACCUUGCUGCCAAUGACGGCUAAGCGGAGAAGAAGCAACCGUCAGGCCAUCACUAGUAAUCUGCCCCCAUACAACAUCAUUCCCUAGAGAACAGGCCGAUGUCCUUCCUCUCUAUGCAUCCAAAUACACAAGAUAGAUCUCCCUUACAACAAAAAAUGUGCAAUGUNNNNNNNNNNNNNNNNNNNNNNNNNNNNNNNNNNNNNNNNNNNNNNNNNNNNNNNNNNNNNNNNNNNNNNNNNNNNNNNNNNNNNNNNNNNNNNNNNNNNNNNNNNNNNNNNNNNNNNNNNNNNNNNNNNNNNNNNNNNNNNNNNNNNNNNNNNNNNNNNNNNNNNNNNNNNNNNNNNNNNNNNNNNNNNNNNNNNNNNNNNNNNNNNNNNNNNNNNNNNNNNNNNNNNNNNNNNNNNNNNNNNNNNNNNNNNNNNNNNNNNNNNNNNNNNNNNNNNNNNNNNNNNNNNNNNNNNNNNNNNNNNNNNNNNNNNAAUAGAGGGGUGUAACCCCUUGUCUCCGCAACUCUGUAUAAAAAAGCAAUGCAUAGUGCUUGCAUGACAUUGUCUAGUUAAGAGAUAUUACUAAAAUAUAGGAGAAAUAAUAUAGAGAGCUCGUAUAUAGACAAUCAAUGGGGAAAACUGAAAGAUUUUGAGAGAUAAUCUUUGUAGAUCAUUGUCCAUACGAAAAUUUAGACCUAUGGGCCAUGCUAGCGGUGCUUGUAACUAGAAAAACAUAAUGUGCCCCUUCCUAUGUGUAGAUCUUAUAUAGAAAAACCCCAUAGUGAGUCAGUAAUUACUAUUUCUUUUCGUGUGCAUGUGUGCUUCCACAUCAUCCAAACUGUUGUAGCCAUUGGAUUAGCUAGCUUAGUCAAAUAACAUCCAUCCGAUCUGAAGAUGAGUCUCUACCUUGCAACAUGCACGGUAGAUUUUAAAUGCCAGCACAGUUAACUUAUGACUUGCUCAACUUUUUAUAUUAUUUUUUUGUGUUUGUUUCUACAUAGCAUAAUUUAGAUCUUACUGGUGAAUUUAUAUUGUGUAGUACAAUAUUUAGACCUCAAAUCUCUAAUUACAUUCCAGCGGGGUAUAUUGUAGUAUGUAAUCAUGCUCUGCUCCUGAGUGUGGACAUGCUGAACCCAUGGGCAUAUGAGCCCACUUUUUUAAAAAAAUGCAUUUUAAACACAUUUUAAAAUGUAAAAAAAAUCAAAAGAAAAUUCCACGCAUAUAUCUUCGCAACAUGUGUGCGCGGCAUAAAGUUUUAUGAAAAAAAAUGUCUUGGCUUUGCCCCCGCAAAAAAAAAAUCAGUGCUUCUCAAUAGCGUUCCACGACACAUGGAAUUUGAAGAUGUAUGCAUGAGACUUUUUCAGAUUUUUUUGACAUUUAAAAAUAAGUUUUCCAAAGUGGGUUCAUAUGCCCAUGGGGUUCAUCCAUGCACUUCUCCUCUGCUCCUCUCUUUAUUUAAUGAAAAGCUGCACUGCGAACUAAUUCGGCUCUAAGUAACUACUCACUGGCCUCGUACAACAGUCAGGUUACUAAAUUUGUGUUACUCCUUUGAGUUUAUUAUCAAAUGUACAACAUUUUUGUUCUAUUUUUCAUUUUCACAUCCAAGCUAUUAAUUGAUAUAAUUACACUGGUCAGUAUGGGUGAUAAGUUUCCUAUACAAAACAGUUUUGCGUCGUUUACUUUCUGUAAUCAAGUCGCCCGAGCCACGAGUAAGAUUACUUGUAUCAUCAACAGAACAUGCAUGUAUACCCUAACAACACCGGGAAGGUAGCUUGAUGUAACUGAUAUACCCACGGCAUGCAUGUUGAGAGAUCUGGCAACCAACAUAAUAGUGAAGGCUUAUCGGCUGUGGCUCUUCAUGUAUUUUUGUCUUGUGUUUGUUGAGAGUUGCUGAGAUUGGUUGUAAGAUUGAGCGAUGAGCCCAGCUUUACAACAUUGUGGACGCGCAAGAACUCACGGUAUGUGAGGGAACGGUAGCGCAUGGGGUUUCCUUCGCCAAUGAACUCCUCUGAGGGCCCGAUGAGGCAGUCCGCAUCCGGCUCGAUGAAAACCGCCACUGACAUUCGUGGCAUCACCGAAUUAGUCAUCACCCGGUGCUCUAUGCUCUUCAGCACCCCGUUGGUUACGACCUGCAAGAAACAACCAACAUAUAAUGAUGACUGAUCCCAUAGACAGACUGGAAUGAGCAACUUAAGCCAACCAGACUAAUCAUUGAUGCAUUAACUCAAGUUGGAAGCCGAAGUUGACGACAAAGGCAUUUGGCAUAGGCUCCACGUUAAUCCAAUCACCCUUGUAGGAGACUUGGAGACCGGGGACUACACCAGGUAGGAGUAGGGUGAUGAGGUUCCGAUCGCAGUGUGGCGGUAGCCCGAGCGCGAGGCUCGAGUCCGAGCACCUUGGGUAAUGGUUGAGGGAGAUGGUGGUAUCACCGCAGUUGAGGGGCCCAUCGAAGUAGUUAGGGUGGAGCCCCAUUCCCUCGCUCAGAAGCCGCAGUAGCUCCAUGCCCACACCUCUUGUCAGCAGGAAGAACGUCUCGACAACCUCUCUGUAGCCAAAGGCAAGCCAAUUCACAAGGAAGAAACUCACUUCUCCACCAUGCAUGGAUGCUCAAUUGCUUGUGAUCGAUGGAUAUAUAGGUAAAAUUCUUGGGGGUUUUUGGCCCAUGAACUAAGUAAUUCCUAGAUAAAUCUCGAAGGCCUAUGUGCGAUUACAUGACGGCGUGAAAAUAUAUUACCGAAGGCUUUGGGGCUUAUCGGGCCAGUGAUUCUUGCUGUCUCCCACGGGGAAGGUGGAGGCAAGGCGGAGGCAGUCCAGCCAGUACUUGUCGCCGCCGGUGUUGAAGGUGGUGCCAGAGAAAAGCCGGUUGGGCUUGCGUCUGUCGUCCGAGUAGAAGGGUGCCACGUCCAGCACCGGGAGGCGGAAGAACUCCUCGCACACUGCCUCCAUGUCCCGCAUCGCAUGCUCAGGAACGCCGUGGUUGACCACCUACAUGCAUGUACACGUAUGUAAUCAAAAAGAAGAAUUGAGAAGAGGAGGAAGACCCUGGUCUCUGCAUCAUCAUGAUGCACACGUAUGUAAUCAAAUGCCAGUAGCAAAUUAGAUGGUUGGACCGACCAGGAAGAAGCCCAGCUCCUUGCCGGCGUCGAGGAUGGCGCGGCGGACCUCGUCAUGACUGAGGGAGAGGUCGACAACGGGGAGGGAGACGGCCGGUGGCAGGGCGAGCAGCUCGUGAGACGAGGCGGAGGAGAGCAGUUUGGCCAUGGGAAUGGUAAUGUGUGGAGUGGAACACGCACACGGCAAGAACUAACAGGAGUAGACUUGCUACCUGGCACGCUCUUUAAUUUAUAGGCGUGGAGUGUUAAAUUGUGUGGGUCGGAGAUCUCUAUCAGCUAGCGAUUGGCUCUUUAAUUUGUAGUUAGAACAACACAAAUAUCAAUCAUCCUGGGCUGUCCAACGUGGAGGUCUCUUGUACGCCCGAACUCCCAUCUAGGGUUUCCUUGCUUCCCGUCGGCGGCGCCGGUCCGCCUUAUCUUCUAUGGUCCUCGGAACAUGGAGGCACGGUGGAUCCCGGCCCUUGCCGGCGGGAGGGCUCCGUUUUUAGAUGCUUUUCUGAGUUUUGUUAGGGUUUGUGCCAUGCUGAAGAAGAUGAGGCGGCGGUGUCUUCUUGAAGAUGGAAUAAGGUCCUCCCCGCCUAGCCCCUGUCCCGGUGAUGUUUCAAGCAUCGUCGAAAGGCGUGUGGAGGUUUGUCUCCGGCGGAUCUCGUGGGAUCCAGUCAGUGUUUGUCUUCGGUGGAUCCAACUGGAUCCGGUCUUCGUUCGUCUAUUUCUGAGUGUCUACGGGUUGGAUCCUUCCGGUCUAUGCUUCUCUUCAUCGGCGGCGGUUGCUGUUCUGGUGCGCUGGUCCUAUGGGGCCUUAGCACGACGACUUCCCGACUGUCUACUACAACAAUGUUUGCCCGACUCCGACGAGUGAGGGGCGAUGACGGCGGCGCGCCUUCGGCUCGCUCCAGUGAUUGUAGACGUCGCUAGGUGGUCUACGGACCUGGAUGUAAAUUUUACUUCUAGUGUUCUUUAUACUACCUUGACAGUUGAUGAAUAGAUUGUAAGUUUUCACGCAAAAAAAAGCUCGGCUCUUUAAUUUAGUGAAAGGUCGUUUGAUCGGCUCAUUUAUUCAUCCCAACAAUCUUUGUUUUUAAUUACCUUUUUUUUGCGAGGAAGUUUUUUUAAAAAUGAGACAAACCCAAAAGCUAACCCCGUUUGGUAUUUUUUUUAUAAAAGAAACUCUACAAGCAUUACACGUCAAAAUCAGGGCUUGAACUUGGGUGGGCUGGCAGCUACCCCAGUUGCCCAGCCAACGGGUUUUAAAUAAACUUGUUUAACCGUCGAGCGCAACAAUACAAACAAACAAGUAGCUCUAACUAAUCACAAGUGGCCAGCUCAACUACCUAGUCCGAAAUGAUUAGGCGAGUUGAAAUUAUUUCUCGUGUCCAAAACCGUAUGGUGUUUGUUUUAGUUAAACGACGGUCCGGCCCUAUUCUAAAGCACCACCUUGACAUUUUGAAAUUUUCAAUGCGUGCAGCAUGUAAUGCUUAAUUGGAUGCACGCUGUAUCUCGACGACCGACCAUUGCAAAAGAACAAAGUGAAAGGACAAUGAUAGACACGGAGUGUAUAUUAUUUGAUCGAUCGAGUCAGACAGAAGAACAACCGAUUGAUUGGAUCAAGUCUUUAAUAAUGGACAUCAAUAUUAAGGAUCCCCAACGAUUAGCUAAUCGGCGAGUACUCUUUCAGGAGCCGCCAUAAGGAUCAUUUUUGUGUCAUUUGACGCGUUUUUCGCCGCCGCAACAACGGGAUCGUAACAGUGUUUGAGGAUAGAGUAUUCAACUCAAAUUUAUAAAUUUGACAUAAAAAGAGCCAAAAAAUAUUUGUAAGUAUUAGCAACUGAAUUGUCAAUUAGACCACACCUGAAGAUUAAUUAUCUGCAGCAAUAUGAUUAGUAGCACAGUAGUAUGAUAGUUUUGAUGGUAACAGUAACGGUAACAGUGAUAUUUGCAUGACAUCUUUUGUCCUACCCUCCCGUGGCAGCGGGGUCCAAAUGGAAACUAAGGGAUAUUAAGAUCUCCUUUUAAUAAAGAAUCAGAACAAAGCAUUAACACAUGGUGAAUACAUGAACUCCUCAUACUACGGUCAUCACCAAAAAGUAUCCCGACUUCUGUCACUACUACGGUCAUCACCAAAAAGUAUCCCGACUUCUGUCAAUCCGGGGUUUGCAGAUCAUAACAUUUAAUAGGUGACUAUAACUUGCAAGAUCGGAUCUAGAACAUAGAUAUAAUGGUGAUAACAUAAACGUUCAGAUCUGAAAUCAUGGCACCCGGACACAAUGUGACAAGCAUUAAGCAUGACAAAGUCAUAGCAACAUAAAUCUCAGAACUCAAUGAAUUCUAGGGAUCAAGCCCUAACAAAACUAACUCGAUUAUAUGAUGAAUCUCAUCUAACUCCCUCGCUGACCAGCGAGCCUAUGAAGGAAUUACUCACUCCCGAUGGGGAGCAUCAUGGAAUUGACGAUGGAGAAGGGUUGGUGAUGACGAAGAUCGAUGAUUCCCUUCUCCGGAGCCCCAAACGGACUCCAGAUCUGGCCUCCCGACGAAGAACAAGAGGUGGCAGCGGCUCCGUCUCGUGAAACACGAUAAUUCUUUUUCCCUAAUUUUUCUCAAAAAAUAGGAUUUAAUAGCGUCGGAAGUAGGGUCAGCGGGGCCAUCAGGUGCGCACAACCCACCUGGGCACGCCAGGAGGGGGGGCGUGCCCUAGUGGGUUGUGCUCUCCCAGGGACCCCCCCCCUCCGGUGGUUCUUGGCUCCAAUAUUUUUUUAUUCCAUAAAAAAUCUCCAAAAAGUAUAGUUCCAUUCCAAAAACUUUUAUUUCUACACAAAAAGCAACACCAUGGUAGUUCUGCUGAAAACAGCGUCAGUCCGGAGUAGUUUCAUUCAACUCAUGCAAAUUAGAGUCUAAAAAAGAGGGAAAACGUUAGGAAAAGUAGAUACGGCGGAGAGGUAUCAUAUGGCUAUCACCUGGCGGAGUAGCAAGUUGCAAACAGGCAGGUUUAACCCAUAUAUGGCAUAUAAAGUCGGUUAAGAGGGUAUGAAAGCUAAACUCGGUGAGUUGGAAGACCCCAAGUGACCUUAUAAUCAAUUAAUAAAUACUCAUGCCUAGUAAAUAUGGGAUGAAACAACAGAGGCCUCGAAUUUCGGUGAUGCCGGCUUUAUUACGUUGAUCAUAAUAUGAUAAGCUAAUAAAGCAGGAUACCCAUGUUUGAACCGCGCAUCCUGGCAGCAAGUUCUCUUUGGCAACCUUUAAUUUUCUGAGAACUCGAACUUGCGAGAGAUGGAUUCCUCUUGAACCGGAUGUUGAGCCGGAUAUUGAGAUAUCAAAACUUUGUGAGAGACAGAUUUCCCUAGCGCCAGAAUUUGAACCGGAAUGUUUUCUGAUAACCCGACAUUUUUCUUUUGAGCCGGAACUUUUUGAUUGCCCGGUACUUUUUAAGCCGGAAAUUUUCUAACAGCCUUUAAAUUUUCACCAAUGUGGCAGUAACCCCUGAGACCGGGUUAUUUUCCCUCCAGUGACUCGGGGUUCUUGAACUUGCUGAAACUGGCAAAAUUUGUUGAGUCUUGUCCGUUUAGCCCCCGAGUCUUAAGAGGACUCGAGGAUUUGGCUUGAGAUUCUCCAUACUUGACCGUGAUAUAAGCCGGCAUAUAGUUGAACAACAGAACAUUAGAAUAUGUUGAAGCUGGAAGCAAAGUGGCGAGUUGAUGAUCUUCGCAACACUCAUUGUAUAAACUUAGCGUUGAUAAAGCGAUGUGAAUCCACGGAAGGUUGAGGUUGACCGUGGCGGGUUAUAAAUGAUCCCUUAUGAGUUGUGUCAAUAUCCCGGCUGGUGGUUCGUCCGGCUGGUUGUUGAAGUAUAACCAUACCGUAGUAGCAGUGACUUAUGCGCCUGUCCAUUGAGCCAUCGGGUGCAGGCGGAGGCUGAUAACUUAUUAUGAUUUUCUCUAGAGUUGUUGGAAUAGACCGGGCCGUAAGAGCGGCGACUUGCGCGCGCUCACGAAACAGCUCGUGCAGAUGGGUGUGGCUCCGGUGUGCUGAUGUAGAUCAGACCACGGGGUGGAUGGUAAAGACGACCGCGGCAUCAGAGACGACACGGACACGGGCGAGUCGGCUGCAGGCGUGGAUAGAUGAGUCAAUCGCACGCGCGGUCCCGAUGAGCCGAUAUAGACCAGACCGCAGGCGCGGCGGCUAUGCACAUCCGUUGAACAGCAAAACAUGCGCUGUCCCGGUGAGCCGAUGUAGAACGGACCACUGGAUGAUGAGCAGCGUGUUUGCCUACGAUGUAGGUCAGUCUCCGGCAAGUUGAUAGUUGGAUGGCAAUCUAUUAAGAACCGCGGGGCGGACGUUUGCCAGUAUGGCCUCUACUGGACCAAUAUGAGGCAAACGGAUCUAUGUACCCGUAGCUUAAUGAUCUCUUUUGUUCGGGAAGUGUUGCUGAAACGUGACCCCCACUGGGUAGCCCGGGUAAUGCGAUUAGUUACGAGUGGCCGGACGGCUAUUAACAUCAAUGGGGAGGUUGGCCCCUACUUCAUGACUGGCCAAGGGGUCCGGCAGGGAGACCCGAUCUCCCCAUUCUUAUUCAACCUUGUGGUUGAUGCGCUCGCCUCGAUUCUGGACUUGGCCAAGCGUGCGGGUCACAUUAGAGGGGUGUGUCCUCAUUUGGUGACACCUGGGGGUUUAACCCAUCUCCAAUACGCGGACGACACCAUUAUGAUGGUGGAGGGAUCUGAUGAGGAUAUUCAGAACCUCAAAUUCCUCCUCCUCUGCUUCUAGGAAAUGUCGGGCCUCAAAAUAAACUUUGCCAAGAGCGAGGUAAUGGUCAUGGGAUAUCCCCAAAGGGAGGCCCAGCGGAUUGCCAAUCGUCUGAACUGCCGCUUGGGUUCCUUCCCGAUGACCUAUCUUAGCAUGCCCCUUAGUGAUGCACGAAUCCUGGAAAAGGAUUUCCAUCCAAUAGUCGCCAAGCUCCAACCUAGAAUGGAGCCUUGGCAAGGGAGAUGGCUUUCUAAAGCCGCUCGAGUGAUUCUAAUGAACUCCUCCCUUAUUAGCCUACUAAUGUAUAUAAUGGGAUUCUAUAGCCUACAUGAAUCCCUUCAUCAGGAAAUUACCAAACUACUCUCCCGCUUCUUUUGGGCGGGAGAGAACAAUAAGUAGAAGUACCAUAUGGUCAAAUGGUCUGAGAUCUGCAAACCUAAGGACCAGGGAGGCUUGGGGGUCAUCUCCUCCAAGCGUAUGAACAUUGCCCUCCUGUCCAAAUGGCUUUGGCGGAUCCAGACUGAGGAGGGCGGCCUGUGGCUUCAGAUUAUUCGUAGGAAGUACCUUCGUGGGCAGCCAUUAGCGUUUGCCUCUAGGUCUGGAGGCUCCCAAUUCUGGCAAUCAGUGAUAUCUUUGUUGCCGGUCCUGCGCAUUGGGACCUCCAUCCAGAUAGGCUCUGGGUCUGCCACCUUUUUUGGCUGGAUAGAUGGGCGGGACCCCGCCCCUUCGUAGAGCGUUUUUACGCUCUAUUCUCUAUCUGUGUUCGCCCACAGAUCUCUGUCGCCGCGGCACUAGAGAACCUAGGCGCGAUUGCCUUUCGUCGCACCUUCGGGGCGAUCGAACUUUCGCAAUGGGAUGAAUUACUUGAAUGCAUUGCCCUUCAUCCUCCUUCUCUGGAACCGGAUUCGCUUUCCUGGCACCUCGAGCCAAGCGGUAGAUUUUCGACUAGAUCCCUGUACCAGGCGAUUGUGCCUACUCCUGGCCCAGUGGAGCUCACGGUGCUCUGGGAGAUCAAACUCCCCCUAAAGAUCCAUAUAUUUCUAUGGCAAUGGGUUAGAGGACGCCUCCCCUCGGGCUCUGAGGUCCGUAAGCGUAAUGGACCUGGGGACGGUCUAUGUCCCAUUUGUCUGGUUCCGAAAGAUUGCAACCACAUCUUCUUCCGGUGUCCGGCGGCGCAGUUCUUACGGAACUGCUUCCGGGAGGUAGUUGGGGGCACAUGGUGCCAUGACAACCUCCCGGAUUUGUUCGGGGAGGUCCUCCGGCUCCCCGGGGCUAGGCGCGCCCCUAUUUGGGUCGCGCUAGGUACCCUUGCCCGGUCCCUUUGGUGUACCCGCAAUAAAUUAGUCGUCGAACGAGUGAUUCCGUCCCGUGUGACUGAUGUGAUCUACAAAAUGUGUGGCUUCUUGCAUCUCUGGAGACCGCUUAGUAAGCGGAGUGAUCGAGGCGUCAUCGACAACAUCAUGGCGGGUCUUCGUGCCUCGGCUGCGUCUUUUGCUCCUCCCCGCCCCCUCCUGAGCCAGAUUAGCGUCUCCUAGUAGUCUUAUUUGGGCCUUGUCUUGCUGUGCCCCUAGCAUGAUUCUAUGACUUACUGUACUUGUAACUUGAUGUUGGAUGCUUGGUGGUAUGCUUUAUAAUAUAAAGCGGGGGGAAACCCUUUUUCGUCUAAUGAUCUCUUUUGUAUUGAAGAAUUUUUCUGCAUAAAAAUAUCGCAGUGUGAGAAUAAUUGUUCUCGAAAGAAUAAAAAAAUAUAUUAAAAAGUAAAAUAAAGCGGAUAACACAUGAUAUUUCUAUGGGAUGUCGAGCCAGUCGUCAUGACGAGGCGAUUAUGAAGAUGAAUCGGCAGGCAUAAUUAACCGGCAACAACGGUGGAUCGGCUGCUGUUGUGAGCCGGCCGUGACAGCAAGGCAGCUGAACUUAUAGCUUGAACCACCUCUGCUCAUCUUAACAACUCCAUGCCUCAACCACUGUUUUCCUCCCACUGAGUAUAUUUUAGCAGUCAUCUGUGAUAAUUUUCAAGAACUUGACUAUUGUAAUGGACAAGAGGUCCUCUAGAGUCCAGAAGCAGCCAUUGAAAAAAUUGAAGUCUGAAAUUUCUCUCUUAUAUUCCACCGGGCCAAUUCCUCCCUCUUUACUCUACUUUUUCUCCAGCCCCGUUGGGAAGCCAACACACCAACGGGACUCAUUUGCAGAGAGCCAGAAGUCAGGUGCAGUUGAUGGAUUCGGGGAGGAAGUGACCCGGAGCAUAGCAGAGCUGCAGCCCCAUGGCGGAAGCUUGGGCCGGCUUGACGCCGGGGUGACGGCUUGAAGGUCCAAGGCCGCACGGCAGUAGCGGUUGAGGCGAGGCGGGUCUGCGAAGGAAUGGACCGACUCGGCGAUGUCACAGGGGUGGAAGGAGGCAGAGGCAGGUUGCUGAUACGUCUCCAUCGUAUCUACUUUUCCAAACUCUGUUGCCCUUGUUUUGAACUCUAAUUUGCAUGAUUUGAAUGGAACUAACCCGGACUGACGCUGUUUUCAGCAGAAUUGCCAUGGUGUUAUUUUUGUGCAGAAUAAAAAGUUCUCGGAUUGACCUGAAACUUCACGGAGAUCAUUUUUUGGAAUAUAUAAAAAAUAUUGGCGAAAGAAUCAACCGAAGGGGCCCCACUUCCUGGCCACAAGGAUGGAGGGCGCACCCACCCGUCCUUGUGGCCCCCUGGACCUGCACCGACCGCAACUUCAACUCCAUAUAUUCACGUUCGGGGAGAAAAAAAAUAGGAGAGAAGGAUUCAUCGCAUUUUAUGAUAUGGAGCCGCCGCCACCUCCUGCUCUUCCUCGGGAGCGCAGAUCUGGAGUCCGUUUUCGGUUCCAGGGAGGGCAAAUCAUCGCCAUCGCCAUCAUCAACCAUCCUCCAUCACCAAUUUCAUGACGCUCACCGCUGUGCAUGAGUAAUUCCAUCGUAGGCUUGCUGGACGGUGAUGGGUUGGAUGAGAUUUACCAUGUAAUCGAGUUAGUUUUGUUAGGGUUUGAUUCCUAGUAUUCACUAUGUUCUAUGAUUGAUGUUGCUAUGACUUUGCUAUGCUUAAUGCUUGUCACUAGGGCCCGAAUGCCAUGAUUUCAGAUCUGAACCUAUUAUGUUUUCAUGAAUAUAUUUUUAUUCUUGAUCCUAUCUUGCAAGUCAAUAGUCACCUACUACGUGUUAUGAUCCAGCAACUCCAGAGUGACAAUAGUCGGGACAUUUCCCGGUGAUGACCAUAGUUCACUAGUAGAAAACGGGCCUUUUGUCCCGGUUCGUAAGGGCCUUUUGUCCCGGUUCUAGAACCGGGACUAAAGGGUCGUUACUAAUGCCCUGACCCUUUAGUCACGGUUCUAACCAGAACCGGGACAGAUGGGCCUCCACGUGGCCUGCGUGGUGAGCCCAGGCAGGAGGGCCUUUGGUCCCGGUUGGUGGCACCAACCGGGACCAAUAGGCCUCCACGCGUCAGCAUUUCUGUGGCUAGGGUUUUUGUUUUUUUUGAAAGGGGCUUGUUUAGGGGUUUUGGGGUUAAUUUAGUUUGUUAUUAGCUAGCUAAUAGAGAGAAGUGCCUCUCUUAUAUCUCUGUGCUUGGUUUAUACCAACGCUAUGCUAUGCCUAAACAUGGCUUAGAUUGAAGUGAAGGCAACAUAUGUGGUGCAUGUCGAAAGUAAUACUAAUUAAUCCUAACUUGAUCAAGUUUGGAUUAGUACUACUUUCGACAUGCACCACAUGCAUGUUGCCUUCACUUCAAUCCAAUCCAUGUUCAUUUCACCCACUGAUAUAUAUAUAUAUAUAUAAUAACUCUUCAUGCUCACAUCAUGCAUCAUCAUAAUAAUAAGUCCUACUAAUCAUCAUGAUAGAACUUCUACUCGUUAUUAUAAUAACAAGUCAUACGAUCAUCAUCCUCAUAGUCAUCGAACCCAACCCUACUUAAUUGUUCUUAGCACAUGAUCAUCAGUAUUAGGUACGACCUAAAUACCCUCUUUAAGGUAAAAUAGCAUAAAACAGUAUAGACCCUGACUGUCCAUUAUGGAGAAUGGAGAUCAUCCUGUCUCCAAUUCUUGCGCCCCGCUUCCUUUUGCGUCCAAGAACCUCUUUAUGAGUGUCCAUACAUUUUUUCCAUUCUCUGAUUUGCAUGUCUCCACUUCUUUUAGAAAUCCGGUAUGGACAGUUGAGAUUCGUAGGAUGACCUGGAUAUAUGUUCAAAACAUCAAGGCGACCAUGCUCAUACAUCAGAUGAGGCACACAAUCCUCUGGGAUUAUCUGUUGAAAAACAUAGUAUAAUAACUUCAUAGUUAGCAAUGAAGUACUAGUUUUAUAUAAAAGUAUGCAAAAGAUGCACGUAUGUCGUAAUAGUAAAAAAUCUUACCAGGGUAUCUCCAUAGUAGUUACCGUAGUUCAACACGUGCACUAGUGGCAUGUAUUGAACAUAAUGUUGAGGCGUUCGAUUGUAGAUAUUGUAAUUCUCAAGAUCAUUACAAAAUCCAACCAGAUGAGUUUUCUCCUUGUAAGUUAACUCAGAGCCAUCGGUGUAGUAAGUUCUAUCUACCAUCUUCUGCACAUUCUUUGAUACUUCAAAAUAAGCUGUCAAUGAAAAUAAGCUGUCAACUAUUUUGAAAUGAACAAUAUAAAUUAGUUAAUAAUUAACUAUGUUUGAGAAACUCACAUAGCGGUAGAACUAGAGGCGUAUCAACAAGGACCCAAAUGUCCAUAUUGUCUUGCUCGAUUUCAGGACCACCAAGAUCCAUGGUGAAAGCAUACCCUCAUCAAAACCAUACAAUUUGCAAAAUGCUUCCCAAUUUUUGCAACCAAAAUGGGUUACGCUCUCAGCAUUAUACAACCUUACUUCAAAAUCCACAUCAUGAUGGGUCCUUAGGUGAAUUUUCUUCGUUUCAAAAUUUUCAUGGUCUUCAAAAUCCAUGCUCUCCAAGACAUAGCGUCUUGCAUGGCAUGGGAUAAACUAUACUCGAAUUGUAAAAGAUGAAAAUUACACGUUGAAAUAGUUGAAGUCAUGCUUAAUUAUGAAAAAAAACACUUGUCGUCGUUGCGUACCGUUUCAACUUCGAAGGUCUCCUCGAGCUUAAUGCUGAAGCGCCGACCAUCGUCCAGGUGAGGCCUGUCGCACUGACCUCGAUCGUCGUGGCACCAGUCACACUCCCCCGGGAGACUUCCGUCGUCCGAUGAUGAAAUUUCCUAUACGUUCAUAAUUCAAAGACUAAAUUAGAUCAUUAUUAUUCAACUAAUCAUAUGCAUAUGCCUUGCAUAGUGCUCUCCAAUUUGAGCAUUCAAUAAGAAAAAUCAAAUCGCAAAAUAAAGUAGUAUUCAAAUUAGGAUGCAUUCAAUUAUAAGAAAAACUACAUCAUCUCCAUGUGUCCGUACAUCGAAUAUUAUCACUAAUACACGUCGAAUACUAUCAUACAUAUCUCCAGUAUAGCUAGAACCGUAGCGCCCGACGGGUAUCGGCGCGGGCGGUGGACACCCAAAGGGAAGGAACCAUCACAGGAUCAUAGCUCCAGUGAGAUCCCUGAAGAACCUGCCAGGUAUUCUCGAACCUGCCCUCCAACGCAACCAUGUAGCGACGGACAUGCUGGUCCUCCUCGCUGACACGGUGACGUACCACCUCCGCGGUGUCCGGAAGCCUCAGCACCGUCACUGGCCCACGCGACCGCCACCAAACAAGGAUCGGGUCAAUGACGGGCUGGCUCCUCACCAAGCUACGCCCCCCGGAAGGUAGCGCCUCCCAGUACCACCUCGGCGGAGCCUAGUCCCGGACAUGGCCCAUCUGGUCAAGCAGGUGUCGUCCUCCGCCGACUCGACGACGAGGAUGCGGGAUAGGCAUCGUCCACGUCGAUGCGGGAAUAAUUGCUUUAACUAAAAAAUAAACUAGUUCUAUUAAUUUUCUUGCUAAAAAUAAACUAUUUCUAUAGUAAAAUAAACCAGUUUUAUUAAAUCAACUAGUUCAACUACUAAGCACUUACUAUAAAUAGAAUAAUGUAGUACUUACUAAAAAUAAACAAGUUUACCUAGUUCUAACUAAUUCCAUUAAACACUUUCUAAGUAGUACUAAUUACUAAAAGUUAUUGGGGAGGGGGGUAUAUCGACAACGACAUACCCGAUAACAAAAAUAAGAAGAGGAAGAAGAAGAAAAAAAGAGGAGAAGAAGAAAGGAAUAGAAGAGGAAGAAGAAGAAAAAAAGAGGAGAAGAAGAAGGAAUAAUAGAGGAGAAGAAGAAAUUCUUCUUCUCCUCUAUUAUUCCUUCUUCUUCUCCUCUUUUUUUCUUCUUUUUCAUNNNNNNNNNNNNNNNNNNNNNNNNNNNNNNNNNNNNNNNNNNNNNNNNNNNNNNNNNNNNNNNNNNNNNNNNNNNNNNNNNNNNNNNNNNNNNNNNNNNNNNNNNNNNNNNNNNNNNNNNNNNNNNNNNNNNNNNNNNNNNNNNNNNNNNNNNNNNNNNNNNNNNNNNNNNNNNNNNNNNNNNNNNNNNNNNNNNNNNNNNNNNNNNNNNNNNNNNNNNNNNNNNNNNNNNNNNNNNNNNNNNNNNNNNNNNNNNNNNNNNNNNNNNNNNNNNNNNNNNNNNNNNNNNNNNNNNNNNNNNNNNNNNNNNNNNNNNNNNNNNNNNNNNNNNNNNNNNNNNNNNNNNNNNNNNNNNNNNNNNNNNNNNNNNNNNNNNNNNNNNNNNNNNNNNNNNNNNNNNNNNNNNNNNNNNNNNNNNNNNNNNNNNNNNNNNNNNNNNNNNNNNNNNNNNNNNNNNNNNNNNNNNNNNNNNNNNNNNNNNNNNNNNNNNNNNNNNNNNNNNNNNNNNNNNNNNNNNNNNNNNNNNNNNNNNNNNNNNNNNNNNNNNNNNNNNNNNNNNNNNNNNNNNNNNNNNNNNNNNNNNNNNNNNNNNNNNNNNNNNNNNNNNNNNNNNNNNNNNNNNNNNNNNNNNNNNNNNNNNNNNNNNNNNNNNNNNNNNNNNNNNNNNNNNNNNNNNNNNNNNNNNNNNNNNNNNNNNNNNNNNNNNNNNNNNNNNNNNNNNNNNNNNNNNNNNNNNNNNNNNNNNNNNNNNNNNNNNNNNNNNNNNNNNNNNNNNNNNNNNNNNNNNNNNNNNNNNNNNNNNNNNNNNNNNNNNNNNNNNNNNNNNAGCCCAAAGGGCGGGAAGCGGCGGCCUUUGGUCCCGGUUGGUGGCACCAACCGGGACUAAAGGGGGCAUUGGUACCGGUUGGUGCCAAGAACCGGGACCAAUUCCCCCCUUUGGUCCUGGUUGGUGCCACCAACCGGGACCAAUGGUCUUGCGCUGGCGCGGUGGUGGGAGUUUAGUCCCACCUCGCUAGUUGAGAGUCGCCGGCACCUGUUUAUAAGCUCCGCUGCCUCUUCCCUCUCGAACUCCUCUGAAAUGCAAGCUUAUGGGCCUAAUUGGACACUGCAAUGCCUGUGGGCCUACUGGGCCUGCUGCGGGCCUGAAUCCUGGCCCAUGGUUGGGUUUCUAGUCGUAUUCAGGCCGUGCUGGCCCAGUAGGUGGCAUUUUUUUCUUUUUUUCUAUUUAUUUUUUCGUUUCUACUUAGAAAUAAAUACUUAUAGUUUUUUAGUGAUUUCAUUUUUCUUUUAGGUCACAAAAAUUAUAAACUUUCUGUUAGUGCCAUUAGCUUUAAAAUUUGAAUAGUUUAAAUUUGAAUUUUUUAAAAUUUGUGUGAAUCUCAAGUUUAUGAAUCACUAGUUUACUAAAUUUGUGUGAAAACACUUUGUGUAUUAUAUUUACUAUGUACAAUCUUUCUGCACAGAGAUACCAAAAAUUAUAAACUUUCUGUUAGUGCCAUUAGUUUUCAAAUUAGAAUAGUUAAAAUUUGAAUUCUUUGAAAUUUGUGUGAAUCUCAAGUUUGUGAUUAACUUUACUAGUGCCAUUAGUUUUCAAAUUAGAAUAGUUAAAAUUUGANNNNNNNNNNNNNNNNNNNNNNNNNNNNNNNNNNNNNNNNNNNNNNNNNNNNNNNNNNNNNNNNNNNNNNNNNNNNNNNNNNNNNNNNNNNNNNNNNNNNNNNNNNNNNNNNNNNNNNNNNNNNNNNNNNNNNNNNNNNNNNNNNNNNNNNNNNNNNNNNNNNNNNNNNNNNNNNNNNNNNNNNNNNNNNNNNNNNNNNNNNNNNNNNNNNNNNNNNNNNNNNNNNNNNNNNNNNNNNNNNNNNNNNNNNNNNNNNNNNNNNNNNNNNNNNNNNNNNNNNNNNNNNNNNNNNNNNNNNNNNNNNNNNNNNNNNNNNNNNNNNNNNNNNNNNNNNNNNNNNNNNNNNNNNNNNNNNNNNNNNNNNNNNNNNNNNNNNNNNNNNNNNNNNNNNNNNNNNNNNNNNNNNNNNNNNNNNNNNNNNNNNNNNNNNNNNNNNNNNNNNNNNNNNNNNNNNNNNNNNNNNNNNNNNNNNNNNNNNNNNNNNNNNNNNNNNNNNNNNNNNNNNNNNNNNNNNNNNNNNNNNNNNNNNNNNNNNNNNNNNNNNNNNNNNNNNNNNNNNNNNNNNNNNNNNNNNNNNNNNNNNNNNNNNNNNNNNNNNNNNNNNNNNNNNNNNNNNNNNNNNNNNNNNNNNNNNNNNNNNNNNNNNNNNNNNNNNNNNNNNNNNNNNNNNNNNNNNNNNNNNNNNNNNNNNNNNNNNNNNNNNNNNNNNNNNNNNNNNNNNNNNNNNNNNNNNNNNNNNNNNNNNNNNNNNNNNNNNNNNNNNNNNNNNNNNNNNNNNNNNNNNNNNNNNNNNNNNNNNNNNNNNNNNNNNNNNNNNNNNNNNNNNNNNNNNNNNNNNNNNNNNNNNNNNNNNNNNNNNNNNNNNNNNNNNNNNNNNNNNNNNNNNNNNNNNNNNNNNNNNNNNNNNNNNNNNNNNNNNNNNNNNNNNNNNNNNNNNNNNNNNNNNNNNNNNNNNNNNNNNNNNNNNNNNNNNNNNNNNNNNNNNNNNNNNNNNNNNNNNNNNNNNNNNNNNNNNNNNNNNNNNNNNNNNNNNNNNNNNNNNNNNNNNNNNNNNNNNNNNNNNNNNNNNNNNNNNNNNNNNNNNNNNNNNNNNNNNNNNNNNNNNNNNNNNNNNNNNNNNNNNNNNNNNNNNNNNNNNNNNNNNNNNNNNNNNNNNNNNNNNNNNNNNNNNNNNNNNNNNNNNNNNNNNNNNNNNNNNNNNNNNNNNNNNNNNNNNNNNNNNNNNNNNNNNNNNNNNNNNNNNNNNNNNNNNNNNNNNNNNNNNNNNNNNNNNNNNNNNNNNNNNNNNNNNNNNNNNNNNNNNNNNNNNNNNNNNNNNNNNNNNNNNNNNNNNNNNNNNNNNNNNNNNNNNNNNNNNNNNNNNNNNNNNNNNNNNNNNNNNNNNNNNNNNNNNNNNNNNNNNNNNNNNNNNAAUUUGAAUUAUUUGAAAUUUGUGUGAAUCUCAAGUUUGUGAUUAACUUUACUAGUGCCAUUAGUUUUCAAAUUAGAAUAGUUAAAAUUUGAAUUCUUUGAAAUUUGUGUGAAUCUCAAGUUUGUGAUUAAAAUUUACUAGUGCCAUUAGUUUUCAAAUUAGAAUAGUUAAAAUUUGAAUUCUUUGAAAUUUGUGUGAAUCUCAAGUUUGUGAUUAACUUUACUAGUGCCAUUAGUUUUCAAAUUAGAAUAGUUAAAAUUUGAAUUCUUUGAAAUUUGUGUGAAUCUCAAGUUUGUGAUUAACUUUACUAGUGCCAUUAGUUUUCAAAUUAGAAUAGUUAAAAUUUAAAUUCUUUGAAACUUGUGUGAAUCUCAAGUUUGUGAUUAAAAUUACUAAAAAAUGAACAUAGAUGCGCCUAUAGAGAAAAUUCAACCUAAAUUCAUAAUCAAUUUCUAUGAAUUUCAGAGAAAUUCAUUAUGAAUUUAGGUCAAAUUUCCUAUAUAGGGGCAUCUAUUUUCAUUUUGAAAGGAGCUCAACAAUGCAGAGAGGGACGGGCUUAUAAACCAGUGUGGGCGCCCUUUGGUUGGCGAGGUGGGACUAAACUGUGAAGCGCAACGAGGACCGACCAUUUAAUCUCGGUUCGUGGCAUGAACCGGGACUAAAGGGGGGCCUUUGGUCCCGGUUCAGGCCACCAACCGGGGCCAAUGGUGGUGGGCCAGGAGCCAGGCCCAUUGGUCCCGGUUCGUCCUGCCAACCGGGACCAAAAGGUCCAGACGAACCGGGACCAAUGGCCCACGUGGCCCGGCCGGCCCCCUGGGCUCACGAACCGGGUCCAAUGCCCCCAUUGGUCCCGGUUCUGGGCUGAACCGGGACUAAUGGGCUGACCCGGCCUGGACCAUUGCCCCCUUUUCUACUAGUGGUUUGAGGAGUUCAUGUAUUCACUAAGUGCUAAUGCUUUGGUCCGGUACCCUAUUAAAAGGAGGUCUUAAUAUCCCUUAGUUUCCAAUAGGACCCCGCUGCCACGGGAGGGUAGGACAAAAGAUGUCACACAGAGAGCAUAGCAGCAACAUGAGCGUGCCACGACUCAUGCUGCAUAAGCUUAAUGCUACUGUAUACACAACAUAUUUUUCUGUAUACACAAGGAACAUUUUUUUAACACACACUGAACAUUUUUAAAAUACAAGAUGAAUAUUUUUUUUCAAACACAGGCCCGAGCAUUUUUAGAAUACAUGGUAAAGAUUUUGCAAAUUCCUACUGUUCAUGUUUCUAAAUGGUAUGAAACUUUUAAAAAACAAUUAUGCGAACAUUUUAUUUACAUUGCAUAAAAAAAUUCUAGAAAGUGUCGUGUGUUUUUUAAAUGCGUGAAGUUUCUUUUAAAAAUUGUCACAAACAUUCUUUGAAUGUUAAGAUUCUUUUCCAUUGUAUAUAAUAUUUCUUUAGACAUCACAGAACAUUCUUUUCAAAUGCACGAACAUUUUUUAAAUGUCAACAUUUUUUAACAGCGCAAACAAUUUUUUAUUGAAAGUUUAUUAUCAAAAUAAAGAUAGAAUAAGCUUAUUCUUGUUUUUUUAAAAAUGUUGGAAUCUUCAAAAGUGUCCACACUCUUAAAACUGUCCGGGGAUUUUCAAAAAUUAAAUUCCAAAUUUGUUUGAGAAGAAAUUGUUCGGAAUACCAGAUUUUGUUCUUACUUUUCAAAAAUAAAAUCAGAAUUAUAAAGUUUAUUCAAAUUUGUAAAAUACUUUCCAAAAUUUAAAUUUGUUUGUGUUUGAUAAAAAUAUUCUACAUUUAGAAAAAUCACAAUCUGUAAAAAAGGUUUCAAAAAAUUUCAAACAUCCUCUAAUCUGGACGCUGUGCUAUGUUCUUUUAUAGACUUUCCCGUUUACUUUAUGUUACUAUCAUGCAUUGGUUGUAGUGGUACGAACUCGAGUUCAAUUCCUAAUUAGCACAUUGUUGCUUUAUUUUUGUAGUCCAGUAAAAAAACAAAUAAACAUGUCACAACUUAUAAUAUCUCACAUCUAACUGUUAUAUGGACAAACCCAAAAAAAAGAUCACACAUCUCAAUUCCUAUGAAAAUAAAAACGGGUUUGCUAUUUCACAUCUAGAGUGAAGGGAAGUGAGCACGUCUAUGAAAAAAAGGAUCGGGCAUGGAUACGCGACAUCCAUGGUCAUCUGGGUCCGGCGGCAGUGCUCGAGUACUUUGACCUCUGGUGUCGGCUACAGACCGUCACUCUAUCCCAGGAGCCCGACACCAUUCUCUGGAAGUGGAUGGAGAACGGGGCUAACUCUGCGUCUUCAUGCUACAACACCUUAUUCACCGGUUCUACACUAUCUGAGCACUAGCGCCUUGUGUGGAAAUCGGGUGCCCCUCUCUAAGUCAAAUUCUUCCUCUACCUCGCCUCCGUCAACCGCUGUUGGACGGCUGACCGGUUGGAACGGCGUGGCCUACCGCAUGAGCCAGAAUGUGUGAUGUUCUCCCAACAAGCUGAGACCAUACACCACCUUCUGGUGGAGUGCAUUUUCUCUCGCACUAUCUGGCAUGGCAUCUUCUCCUGGUGUUGCCCCGAGAUCACCGCACCAGAUGGCUCUCUUGCCUUCCUCGACUGGCUCAGCUCGAUUCUUCCUACGACGACCCUGGACAAGUGACGUGGGCUCUCCACCAUCGCCGCGCUGACGGCCUGGUCCCUCUGGCGUCAUCACAAUGCUAUCAUCUUCGACAAGAUCACACCCUCCUCCGCCUCUCUUCUGGUCGCAAUACAGGACGACGCCCGCUCCUGGGCCCGCACAGGAGCCAAAGGACAUAACAACAUCAUCCCUGUAACGUAGCUUAGUCUCUUUGGGCUAAGAAACCCAUUCUAUGCUCACUGUGUAUCACGGGCACGCCCUGUAGUGUACGUGUCCCUGAUGCCAACCUGUACGUUUUUCUCCUCUAUCAAUGCGAUGAUACGCUGACCAUAGCGUAUUCGAGAAGAAAAAAAGCACGUCUUCGACCCAUUAGUUCUUGUCCACUCGUCCUUUUUUUUCCAACUCAACUCUUUUGCGUAUAUAGUUGUGUUGGGAACGAACGCUACAUGUUCACCUUUUGAAUGGAUGAAUGGUUUUUUUUAUGAAUUCAUGAACGGAAGCUACAUGUUCACUCUACUUUUUUGUGUGUUUUUUAAAUCUUUUUACGUUUAAAUUCAUAAUUCUUUUAAAGAAAAUUUGAUAUUUUUUUUCUAAUUUUCUGUGUGUCAAUUUCCUUUUCUUUUUUAUUUUCCUUUUUCCUUCUUUAUUUAUUUUUUGUUUAAAUUCAUGAGUUUCUUUAAAUAAAUUUACCUGUGUGUCGUCUAAGUUCUUGAUCGUUCGACAUGUUCUCUUUGAAUGUCGUGCUAGUUGCAAGUACACCCUCAACAUGCAACCGGUCCGCUUUUUUUAGUUACAAGUCCAGCCUCAAUAUGCAACUGUGGCCUGACCCAAUUUUAUUCCAGUUGCAAGUCCAUCCGUGACACACAACUUGGGGUCGAACCCUUUUUGCCUCAGUUGAAAACCACCUUCGACAUGCAAUUAGAGCACCUUGCCAUUUUCCUCGUCCCGGUUGCAAAUCCACCCUCCACACGCAGCCGGGGCCUGUCCUACUUUUCUCUCAGUUGCAUGCCCAACUACACACUUGACACGCAAUGGGGGCAAUUAGGAGUCCUACCAAUUUUUAUUCCAGUUGCAACUCUACACUCAAUACGUAACUGGGCCCGACCCAUUUUUGUCCAGUUGCAAGUCCACCCUUGACAUGCAACUGGGGCCUCGACCCUUUUUGUCACAGGUGCAACUCCGCCUCCGACAUGCUAUUUGUGGCGGCCUGCCAUUUUUCUUUGUCUUAGUUGCAAGUCCAUUCUCGACACGCAACUAGAGGCCUACCCAUUUUUGUCCUAUUUGCAAGUCCACCCUUAGUACGCAACUAGGAGCCUGGCCAAAUUUUGUCUUAGUUGCAACUCAAUCCUCGAUACACAAGUGGCGCCCAACCCAUUUUCAUCCUAGUUGCAAGUGCGCCCUUGACACACAAUUGGGGUCAGAUUAUUUUUUGUCUAAGUUGCAAGCCCACCCUCGACUCGCAACUCGGGCCCAAACUUUUUUGUUCGAGUUGCAAGUCCACCGUCGACACGCAACUGGGGCCCGACCUUUUUUGUCCGAGUUGCAAGUCCAUCCUCGACUCACAACUAUGGCCCCAUCUUUUUUGUCCGAGUUGCAAGUCCACCCUCGACUCGGAACUGAUCCCGAGUUUUUAAUUCCCAAUUGCAAGUCCAACCUCGAUUUGGCAAUUGGGGCCUGCCCUUUUUUGUCCCAGUUGCAAGUCCACCAUCUACUCGCAAUUGGGGCUCGACCUUUUCUCGUCCCGGUUGCAAGUCCACCCUCGACUCGCAACUAUGGCCCAACCUUUUUUUGUCCCAGUUGCAAUUACAAUCUCGACUUGCAUCUGGGACCGACCUCUUUUAGUCCCAAUUGCGGGCCACCCUUGACUCAGCACUGGCGGUCCAACCUUUUUUUAUCCCAAUUGUAAGUCCACACUCGACAGCGAACAAACCACAGAUGAGCCGGCCCAAGUAGCUAGGAUAUGUUUCUUGUUUUGUUCAUGUUUUUCUUUGUAUUGUAUCAUUUUUUCUUAAUUGGUUUUCUUCUCCUUUUAAUUUUUUCUAUUUUCCAAAACUUGAUCUCAUUUUCUUUAUUAUUUUAUUAUUUUUUCAUAAAUUCACAAUUUUCAAUAAAUGUUCCAAAAAUCAUAAAUUUGUUCAUUUUUCUAAAGUUGGUUGUGUUUACCAACAUUUAAAAAAAAUCAAAAUGUGUUUAUUUUUUUCUCUUCUUAUUUAUCUAUUUUCUCUAUUUUGUUUUCUCAAUUUUUUUAGUCCACUUUUAGUUCAUUGUAUAUAAAAAAAUCGCUUUUAGUUCAUUGUAUAUAGAGAAGGACAGAUCUGUUGACUAGCUUUACGUAUAGGCCGGCGGCCUCCCAGGGGCGAGUUGGUUUUUGGUUUUGGCUUUGACAAGUUAAAAUCAAAUAAACAUGACUAACAAUGAAAACAAUAAAAUGAAGCUGACAUCAUACUUCAUAGACGGACCCAAAAAACAAAUAAAAAUGACUUGCGAGUCCAUGUAGACAAAGAAGAACGACAUGUAUAACUAAGGAGUCCUCAAGCUUCAGCUAAAAAAACUGAGCAUAUGCCUGAUUGUAAAAUAAUUAUUACAUCUCAUCGUACCAAAAGAAGGCGUAACCAUGAUAAACUAAACUAGGCACGAACAUACAAUUUUUUCGCAAAUGGCCCUCAGAUACACCACCACUACCUGUCUAAUAUUUUGAUAUCGCCUAAUUGUAAGACAAGUAGAAGAAUAACAUAAAUUGUUAUGCAUAAAAGAAUGAAUAUCAACCCAUUAACAAAUAUCAAUUGAAAAUUUAUCAUUGAUUUUCGUGCUAGAAGUUGGCAAGACAGACUUGAUUGUUUCAAAAUUGGAUCCAUAAAAAUAUAAUUAUAUAAGGGUAAAAUAUUUUUCAAGUAUUACGAGAUACUAAUAGCUAAUGUGAUUCUAGAUAGAUACAUUCGCAACUAAGUAUAGCAUUUAUUGAAAAUUAAGUAGGAGCACUUACUAAUGGACUAAGAAGAAACAUAUAGUACGAAAAUGAUAGGAGUAGCAUUGUAGUUGGGGUACACAUAUAAAUCAACCACGACAAAGUAAUGCAACCUCAAAUAAAGAAAUCCAACACUAAAUGGAAAACGUAUCACCUAAACAGUAGUCACUGGACUUAAAUUUUAAAAACAUCUUCUAAUUAUUUAGUUUAUACAAAUAUUUUAUAUUGACAUUUCACUCAAUAGGACACAUAUCCACCGAAAUAGUAGUCAUUAGAACUGUCUUUAAAAUGUCGUAUACCUUCUCUAGUUUUUUUUUAUAUAUGCAAAUAAUUGUUAUGUACACCAUAUUUGAAAAACAAGACUAACCAUGCAGCAUAUACCUCUCACACUUCGAAUUUUGUUGAGCGGUAGGUCUGUGUAAUGUUUGUUUCUCGAACUUGGUUGAGUUGUUUUGUAUAUGCUACAAUGUGGAUUGAAUAAGUGGGCAAGAUGUGUAUCUUGCCAAAUGGAUCAAACUAAUUCAUUCUUUAUCAAUCCCUUAAUAGGUGGCGUAAGAUUCACAAAUAGGUGUUCCUUGGUACCAUGACAUGAAGGCUUCAUUUAGACGAAAGAUGCAGUUUGUGGAACAUAAAUGAGCAAACAGAUGCACUCUUCCCUACAAUGAAGUUUAUUAUAUAGUUGAUUAUUAGGUGUUGUAAUUAAAUUAUUUUUUGAGUUGAGGUGUUGUAAUUAUUUGAUAACUUAGCAUCUAUCAAAUUGUAUGAUAUCUGAAAGUUAAAAACUUGCAUUUUACAGAUAAAUAUAAUUUUAUUAAUUACUAUGUACUCCUAUAAUAGCUAGGCCGUGUAGGUGCACGGGUAGAUGACUAGUGAUCAUAAUGCUUAGUCUUAAUAACUGAUAGAAAAUUCUGAUCUAAGAAAAACUAAUAGAAAAAACUAUAAAACACAAGGGUGUCCAAGUGGUUUGUCAAGGUUGCCUGGGUUGACGCCAAAAUUUAGCUAGAUUGUAGAUACAUUAAAUAAUAAAAUGUGUAUGAGGUGAAUAUUUCACAUGGGACGGUUUUGAAAAAAAACAUUUUAUCCCAUAAGCACAUUUUUCUUUGUCAACAUAAAAUAGACUGGGGUGCCGGUGCGACAAGAAGUGGGCAAGGAGAUGGCUAGGAAAAGAAGAAGGGCGGCGCGAUGGGGAGAAGGGAGCAGAGGCAGCGCGGCUGAUGAGGGAGAUGUACAAGGGAGGAGGGAGAAGGGGCCGGAUGAGGGUGUUUGCAGUUGUCGCGCCCACACCAAUGUUAAUAAACGUGAGGUAGAUGAAGGGUCAGCCCUUUGCCUAGUUUUGGAGCUCGGCAUAGGAAGGCCAACCGUCAAACAAUAGAUGCCACGUGUCCUGUGGUGUCCGCCUGACAUUUCUUUGGCGUGUUUUUUGGACCCUGGUAUUCCGUAAUAAGAAAAGUCAUAAAUAUUGUUUAGUUUCUGUUAGUGGAAACCCAGCAAACAUAGACUGACGUCAUGUCCCAUUGCCUGAUCAUUCUUGGGUCCACCUUUCGGGGCACUAUCGAGUUUCUGUCGUACAGAACUCGGCGAAUGUGCAUCAUUGCUGAGUUUCAAUUUUUUUUACCGACUGCCUUUCGACAAGCACUAGGGAAACGAUGAUGUUUGUCGAGUGUCGCGUUACUUCCGAGUCCAUUUAUCAGCAAACUCGUUAGCCACCAUACACUGCCGAGCUUCCGAUAAACUGAACUCGGCAAAAACUUAGAACUCAGCGAAAUCCUAGAUUUCAGUAGUGUUUCUUUCCAAUGCUUUAUGUUGGUGUAGAAUUUUUCUCCAAUACCUUUUUUUUUACAGUCCGUUAACCGGACACACAAAAAAGCCCGCGACCCAUGGGAUGCUGAUGUGUGCGCGGCUCCCCUUGAGUUUUGGGUCCACGCAGCCGGCGUGAAGUGCGACGGGAACGUGGCGAGGUUUACGGCUCGCAAGUAGAAACCCUCGUCUCUGCUGCUCGCCCAAACCCUCGUCUCCUUCUGCCUCUCGUCACCCUUGAUCUCCACCGUAGCUCCCACAAUCGAUGGCAUCAUGGCAGAGGCCGACAGAAAGGAGGGCGUCGAGGUGCACCCCAGUCAUGGCGCGGGCCACGCUCGAAUUCGACAUCGUCGGGUACAGCCUGCAUAAGGGCAUGGGCGCCGGCAAAUUCAUCCGGUCCCCUCGCGCCUCCGUUGGCGGGUACGAAUGGUGCAUCCGCUACUAUCCGCUACUACCCUGAUGCAGACAGGGAGAUGAUCGAGGACCAUGUCUCAGUCUACGUGGAGCUCGUGAGCAAGGGUGCUAAGGCAAGGGCGCUCUUCGACUUGAGGUUGGUCAACCAGGCCAACGGGCUGUCAACGUCGGUGACGUCCUGCUUGGGAUCACCCGAAGUGUUUGAUUCCGUCGACCCCAUUAAGAACAAAUAUACUUGGGGUGUUCAUACUUUUAUGAACAAGAGUGAGCUGGAGAAAUCACCUUACCUGCGUGAUGACCAUCUUAUAAUUGAGUGUGAUCUCAGCGUGAUCAGCAAUGUGCCGCUUGUUGCCGAUGCCAUGGAGAUCCAGGUGCCACCCUCAGACUUGGCAGAUAAUCUCGGAACAUGGCUAGAGACCGAGGAGGAGACAGACGUGACAUUCAAUGUUAGAGGGGAGACUUUCCCUGCGCAUAAGACUGUGCUUGCAAUGCGGUCACCGGUCUUCAAGGCAGAGUUGUAUGGACCGAUGGGAAGUCGGACGGCACUCAACAUAACCGUGGAAGAUGUGCAGCCAGCUGUUUUCAAGGAAUUGCUUCGCUUCAUCUACACAGAUUCAUUGCCUUCUCAAGACAACCUCGAUGAUGACAUGGUUAAGCAUUUACUGGUGGCUGCAGAUCGGUACGCCAUGGAAAGGAUGAAGAUGAUAUGCGAAGGCAUUCUCUGCAGAAGACUUCGUGUCGAGACUGUGGCAACCACGUUAGCUCUAGCUGACCAGCAUCACUGCAGCAGGCUCAAAGAAGCCUGCAUUGAAUUUGUUAUCUCUUCGAAUAGAUUGGCUGCUGUGAUUUCAGGCCAAGGGUAUGUGCACUUGAAAAGAUCAUGCCCUGCUGUCAUAGCAGAAAUCUCGGAGAGAGUAACAAAGUCUCGCACAGGUUAAUGUGCUCAUCCCAGGGUAAAACUUGGAUUACUUAGCUUACCUGCCCUUGUCACUUUCUCGAGAUCUUUUUGAGGAGCAACUAUAUAAGUCUUGAAAAGUUUAGUGUGCUCAUCUUGGAUUCAUGUGUUAGCUUCCAUGUACUUGAUUAUUCAUACAUAGCCAUCUGAGAAGAAUCUAGUCUAUAUCUGCUCUCUUUGACUUCUCCCUUUUUCUAAAAUUUAGGGAAGCCUUUGUAGUUGUUGUAAUUUACUUUUUGAGAAUAUUAAGAAAUAUGCCCGUGCGUUGCAAUGGGAAAAGCAAAUCCUUGCAUGCUACAAGUAACCCAUUCAUAUUGUCACUCUCAGCUAUCGUCGCCGAUGGUUCUCAAGGUGCCGAUCUUGGUCAUAAUACUUUUAACACAUCGCCUUUGACAAGCCGCUCCCUCCACCAACUUAGUGCAUGCACCAUCCCACACUCUUGCCCUCUAGUCCAAGACCCAUUCGUGUCGUCGCUUCUUCGGGGCAGAAACGAUCUCUCGCUACACAUGGUCAUAAUUACUUGUAAUAAUGGCGGACAUCACCAUCAUCUCAUCUGCAUUUGGAGCAUGUGUCUCCCCUGAAAAAAAUAAAUUACUAAAGAGUAAUGUGAAACAUAUUAAUAUAUAUCACGAAGAUACCAAUUACACUCAGCCUCUGCAUCAACAAAAUGCCAACAUCUAGUUGUCUAUAUGCAACCCUAUGAUUGAAAUAUUCAAUCGAUUUUGAAAUUCAAACAAUUUGACCGUUGAUCAUAUCAACUAAAAUAUCCACACAAAGAUCUUCACAGAAAGACAAAUCGCUAUCAAAACUAAAUCUGAAAGGGAAAAUCUCUGAAAAGAAAAGACCUUAAAUAGGACAAGACAGACAGGAUUACGAAAUAAAAUAAUAAGCUCCAUCAGAUAAUAUACCUGAUCAUAUCACCUGACAAUGAACACCCCUCCGUCAUGCGUCAUUGGUAUAAUUUAGUAGACCAUUACACAAGCAUGAAACACUAAGUAGGUUAGAGGAUAAAUUCUUGGGAGGUCAAACUAUAGGCGGUCAACAUCAGUUGAUGCAUACCUGCAUUCGUACAUGUGUGCUUCCUUGCUAGUAUACUUGUUCGCAUCAGGUGAUCCAGCGGAGCUUGCUUGCUUGCGUCCUGCAUAGAUGGCGAUACACAUGAGGCUGCAGCCAUGGCGAGCGCCGUUGUCGCCGCUCUAGGUCGUCUGCCCCUCUAUCUCCUGCUCCCUCUGCUUUAUCUCCAUAGGCAUGGUGCCGGCGCCGUCUGCCUCGCCGCGGAAGGCAAUGCGCACAUAGCAUCCGUCAGUGCCGACCACACGGUGGCGAGGUCAGACUUCAGCUAGGCGAUAUGCCCAAGUGAUUUGACCGUGAGGCUCGUCAUGUCGUCCUUACUGCCUUGCUCCUCCUCCAUCCCCCAUCUCCCUUUUCUUCCUCUCCGUCCUGCACCUUCCCUCCACGGUGCUCUCCCUCUCCUGCUCUUUGCCGUCGACUUCGCCAUGAUCCACUGCCAGUCACCUCGCCCUCGCCUCCCAGCAAUGCCUGGUUGUCCUGCUCGUAGGUCUCGACGGAUGACGACGAUGACAAGGGCCUACUUAUUUCCUCGACUACGCCCAGGACGCACGCGCUGCCGCGGCAAAGGACACCUCGGGGAGGGUGACUCCAGGUGAGGCAAGGUAAGACCGACGAGACGGCGGAGGUCGGGCCGCUGGUGAUGGGCGGCGGUAAGGCUGGAAAGCAGUCCAUCCCGACAGUCGCCGCUGUUGGAGCCCAUGAUUUGGGAGGCCUUGGUCAGAAGAGCGCCAACAGCGAUUGGACUAUCACAACACACUCGUCCAUGCUGGUAGGAUUUCUUGCAAUACAUGGUAUAUAUGGAAACGAACACCAAUCUGGAGGCAUCGAUCUGAUUUGGAGACGCCGUGGGUUUGAUUUCCUUAGCAUUACUUUCUGGAUUUCUUUUGUGUGCCCACGUACAGGUAGAUACGAUGUAAAAAUAUUGGUUGACAUACAUUACAUGUGUGUAGAUCUAUUUUUAGAUCUCAGUCGUCAAUUUUUGAGGUUUACACAAAAUUAACGGAUAUAAAUAGAUGACCUAUGCAGAACUAUGAAAGGCUCCGUCCUUUAAUAUUAAGUAUAUAUAUAUAUAUAUAUAUAUAUAUAUAUAUAUAUAUAUAUAUAGAUAUAUGCAUGCGGUACUUUACUGAUGCACUUGCAGGUGAAAAUUAACUGGUAGAUUUUAAUUAGAGAAAAGACUUUGAAUGCUUUGCAUGCACGAUUGUUGACCAACACACAUGGACUUAACAAUCAUCAGAAUUGGAGCAACUCCAGCGCAGAGACCCAUUUUGUCUGUAUGGGUUAUGUGAACACAAAACUUGGCCCAACGGGGCGACCCGAACAGACACGUGUGUCCGCCUGCUGUCCGUUUAUUGUCCUCCCCGGCCUAAACUUGGCCCAAAUCUACGAACAAAUGGGUAUGAAGCGGACAGAAGCGGACGCUCUCGUCGACCGCUGUCAUCCGCUCGAGUCCACCCCUGGUCCCACCUAGCAGUGACUACCCACGAGAUGGCGUCUACCUCCACCCAUGCUGCGAGGAGGAGCGAGGCCACAUGCGAGGAGGAUAGUAGCAUUGCCCCUUCUCUCUUUUCUCUCGUUUUUUUGUUUGGGCUUCCUUAGCCUUUUUUUGGGUUUCUUUGGCCUCUUUUAUUUUUUUGUAAUGUCCGGAGACUCAUCCCAACUUGUGAGGAAAUCAUAGCUUCCAUCAUCCUUUUCUCACAUGGGACAAUGCUCUAAUAAUGAUGAUCAUCACACUUUUAUUUACUUACAACUCAAGAAUUAUAACUCGAUACUAGAACAAAAUAUGACUCUAUAUGAAUGCCUCUGGCGGUGUACCGGGAUGUGCAAUAAUCUAGCAUAGCAAAUGACAUUAAUAAAUGGACAAGACAUGAAAACAUCAUGCUAACUAUCUUACAAUCAUGCAAAGCAAUAUUACAAUGAUGGUGCGUGUCAUAAUAAAACGGAACGGUGGAAGUUGCAUGGCAAUAUAUCUAGGAAUGGCUAUGGAAAUGCCAUAAUAGGUAGGUACGAUGGCUCUUUUGAGUAAGGAUAUAUGGUGGGUUUUAUGCACCAGUGAAAAUUCUGCGGUACUAGAGAGGCUAGUAAUGGUGAAAGGGUGAGAGUGCGUAUAAUCCAUGGACUCAACAUUAGUCAUAAAGAACUCACAUACUUAUUGCAAAAAUUUAUUAGCUAUCGAAACAAAGUACUAAACAGAUGCUUGAUGUCUACUACACAACCUUCUUCUUGUAGACGUUGUUGGGCCUCCAAGUGUAGAGGUUUGUAGGACAGUAGCAAAUUUCCCUCAAGUGUAUGACCUAAGAUUUAUCAAUCCGUGGGAGGCAUAGGAUGAAGAUGGUCUCUCUCAAACAACCCUGCAACUAAAUAACAAAGAGUCUCUUGUGUCCCCAACACACCCAAUACAAUGGUAAAUUGUAUAGGUGUACUAGUUCGGCGAAGAGAUGGUGAUACAAGUGUAAUAUGGAUGGUAGAUAUGGGUAUUUAUAAUCUGAAAAUAUAAAAACAGCAAGGUAGCAAGCGAUAAAAGUGAGCGUAAACGGUAUUGCAAAGCUAGGAAACAAGGCCUAGGGUUCAUACUUUCACUAGUGAAAGUUCUCUCAACAAUAAUAACAUAACUGGAUCAUGUAACUAUCCCUCAACAUGCAACAAAGAGUCACCCCAAAGUCACUAAUAGCGGAGAACAAACAAAGAGAUUAUUGUAGGGUACGAAACCACCUCAAAGUUAUCCUUCCUGAUCGAUCUAUUCAAGAGUCCGUAGUAAAAUAACACGAAGCUAUUCUUUCCGUUCGAUCUAUCCUAGAGUCUGUACUAGAAUAACACCUUAAGAUACAAAUCAACCAAAACCCUAAUGUCACCGAGAUACUCCAAUGUCACCUCAAGUAUCCGUUGGUAUGAUUAUACGAUAUGCAUCACACAAUCUCAGAUUGAUCUAUUCAACCAACACAAAGAACUUCAAAGAGUGCCCCAAAGUUUCUACCGGAGAGUCAAGACGAAAACGUGUGCCAACCCCUAUGCAUAAGUUCACAAGGUCACUGAACCCGCAAGUUGAUCAUCAAAACAUACAUCAAGUAGAUCACGUGAAUAUCCCAUUGUCACCACAGAUAAGUGCUACCUCUUGAGCACUGCGUUGGAUUUCCCCGAAGAGGAGAGGAUGAUGCAGCAAAGUAGCGUAAGUAUUUCCCUCAGUUUUUGAGAACCAAGAUAUCAAUCCAGUAGGAGGCCACGCGCGAGUCCCUCGUACCUACACAAAACGAUAGCUCAACGCAACCAACGCGAUUAGGGGUUGUCAAUCCCUACACGGUCACUUAUGAGAGUGAGAUCUGAUAGAGAUGAUAGACAAUAUUUUUGGUAUGUUUGAUAUAAAGAUGCAAAGUAAAAUAAAAGGCAAAAGUAAAAGCAAAGCAAUAAUAAAGUGAUGGAAGAUUGAUAUGAUGAGAAUAGACCCGGGGCCAUAGGUUUCACUAGUGGCUUCUCUCAAGAGCAUAAGUAUUUCUACGGUGGGUGAACAAAUUACUGUUGAGCAAUUGACAUAAUUGAGCAUAGUUAUGAGAAUAUCUAGGUAUGAUCAUGUAUAUAGGCAUCACGUCCGAGACAAGUAGACCGACUCCUGCCUGCAUCUACUACUAUUACUCCACUCAUCGACCGCUAUCCAACAUGCAUCUAGAGUAUUAAGUUAAUGAAAACAGAGUAACAUCUUAAGCAAGAUGACAUGAUGUAGAGGGAUAAAUUCAUGCAAUAUGAUAUAAACCCCAUCAUGUUAUCCUCGAUGGCAACAAUACAAUACGUGCCUUGCUGCCCCUUCUGUCACUGGGAAAGGACACCGUAAAAUUGAACCCAAAGCUAAGCACUUCUCCCAUUGCAAGAAAAACCAAUCUAGUAGGCCAAACCAGACUGAUAAUUCGAAGAGACUUGCAAAGAUAACCAAUCUGUACCUACUAAUAAAGCAAGGUGCGCUUCUCCAAAAAUUUCAUCCGUUCACCACCGUAUAGAUUUCUUUUACUAUCCGAGGUGGUACUAAUUUUUUGUGCAUCCAUGUGCUAGAAAAAGAAAUAUGGUUUAUCCAGAAUUUCGUACAUGGGCCACGCGCUAAAGCCCAGUAAAGCUAGCCCACUUAUUUCCCUGCCCACGCAGCAGGGAAACUACUAUUUCCCGCACCUGGCAACAGAUAGUUGGAGGUUUGCACAGAUAGCCCUAAACAGGGCCGGCCCGUUUUCAUUUUUUGUGUUCAUUUUCUAUUUAUCAUUAUAUGUUCCUUUCUCUUUUUACUUCCUCUAUCUUUUUUCCUUUUUCAUUUUUAAUCUUAUUUUUGUUUAUUUUUACGUUUUUUAUCAUAUAAUUUUUUAUGAAAUGUUUGGAAUUUCAAUUUUGUUCAAAAUUUUGAAGAAUGUUCAGAAUUCCAAAAUUUCAUUCCCGUUUUAAAAAUGUUCAGAUAUUAAAUAAAUUGUCAUUCUGAAAUUUGUUGAAAAUGGAAAAAACGUUUCUGUUUUACAAAAUUGUUUCAGGUUUUCAAAAAAACAUUGUAUUUUAAAAAAUGUUCCCAAUUCGAAAAAAAAAUCUUAUUGUAGUGAAAUGUUCACGAAUUCAACAUAGAAAUAUUUUAAAUAGCCAUGUAUUUCUCUUUACAUACCGUCGUACGAAUAUAUAAACGUGUGUGAAACUACAUGUAGUAAUAAGAUGUAUGAAGUAUGGAUCUAUUAUUCCGGACAAAGAAUGGAUGUAUUGGCACGUGCGCUAGCUGGAAAAGGACACUGAAUUUUUUUAAAUGAAAAGUAAUGUUCCCACUUUUUCAAAAAAAUGUAUUUUCCAAAAUUGUUCAAGAUUCUUAAAAAAUUUACAUUUUAAAAAAUGCUCCAAAUUUGAAAAAUAUUCUUGCUUUAAAGGAAUGCUCACAAAUUCAAAUAAUGUUCAUUUUAAAAAUUACACAUUUUCUAAAAUUGUUCUGAAAGGUAAACAUGUUCCCAUUUUUUAAAAUUGUUCAAAAAUUCACAAAAUGCUCGUGUUCUUAUAAAAGUUUCGUGUUUUUGAAAAAUGUUUGUGAAUUUUAGAAAAUGUUCCCAUUUCAAAUUUUGUUUCUGUAUUUCUAAAAAUGUAUGAAACUUACAAAAAACAAAUUGAAGUUUUGAAAAUUGUUUGAGAUUUCAAAAUUUGUUCAUGUUUCCAAGAAUAUUUGGCAAUUCAUAAUAACAAUUAUUUUUUAAGAAGUAAAAAAAGUAAUCAUAGAAUCUUUCAAAUCUGACGUUGCGGUAUGUUCUUAAAUAUUUACGUUGUCCAUUGUUUAGCAGGUGUUGCCAUUGACUCGAAAAGAGAAGACCCGCCUCAUUUCCAUAUUAUUGAACUUCAUGCCUUAAAAUCCCCUCGAAUGAAUGAAAAAAUAGAUUGAAUAAUUCACGGACCUUCUCUGGCGUGCGAUGACCUAAUAAAACUCUUAAAUCCACUCGAUCAAUGAAUGAAAAAAUAGCGGAUUGAUUACUUCACACGCGGCGAUACCCAGAACCAAAAUGUUCCUUCUUGACAUGCACACAGGGUUUUUCUUGCACAUAUAAUUCUCACUACAUGAAGUGCACACUAUUUUUCCUCCCGUUGCAACGCACGGACAUAUGUGCUAGUCAUACAUAAAAGAAUUCAGAGGAGAUUCAAAUAUUGUUCAUAGAUAAACUUGAUCAUAAACUCAGAAUUCAUCGGUCUCAACAAACACACCGCAAAAAGAAGAUUACAUCAAAUAGAUCUCCACGAGAGAGGGGGGGAACAUUGUAUUGAGAUCCAAAAAGAGAGAAGAAGCCAUCUAGCUACUAACUAUGGACCCGAAGGUCUGAGAUAAACUACUCACACUUCAUCGAAGAGGCUAUGGUGAUGAUGUAGAAGCCCUCCGUGGUGGCACUACACCACGACACUACAUUCCCUACCGACGUGUGUUGGCAAAAGUCACUUUCGCCGACCGACUGCAAGUCGAGAAAACUUCUAUCGAACUGUCGGUCGGUAAUACUCACGUGUACCACCCAACAGUCGGUCGGGAAUGCUGAAGUGUGUAGCAUCAAACCGUUGGUCGGUAAAAAGUGCAGUACUAUCGAACUGUUGGUCGGCAAAUAAUGCCGACCGAUGGUGGGUCGCCAGUUGGGCCUCCCAAAAUAUCUGCGCGCGUGCCUGGGAAACUUAGGGCGCGAAGCCCAUCCAAAAUUUACUGCCCCUCAUCCCGCAGCCCAGAGCCCACCCUAAUCUUCCCCUAUCUCUCCGCCCUCUCUCCCUUAUCUCUUUCUCUCCCGAUCUGAGCGGCGGCGGUGGCGGCUCCCAUCCUCUUCCUCCACUCCUCUCCCUCAGAUUGAGCUCCGCCCCGAAGGAAAGGGUACGCGGCCGUCGAUCUGUGUGCGUCUAGCCAUGGAGGGCUCGCCCCUCUCGCGCGCCUCGUCCGCACGGAGCGCUAGCAGCCCACACGGCGUAGAUCCACUAUCCCUGCGUCCGCCCCACACCGGCCGCCGGUGACUGCCGCACUAUUCCAUUCCUCCCCAAGCGUGCCGCACGCGAUGGCCCAUGCUACCAUGCCGUUUUUCUGCAGCCAGACCGCCACCCCUACCCUCGCGCUCCGGGCAGAGGCUCAUUCUUCUUGGUGGUGACUACGCGUUCCUCCCGGUGGUGGCGCUCUGCCCGCUGUGUUACCUUUCUCCAAGCAGCUGUGCCCUUCGACCCCUACCUGUAAUCAGUGAGUCCUUCCUGUUUUCUUCGAAUUUUGAUGUGCAACUGUAGUUUCUCCAUUUAUCUUGAAUUCCGUCAGAUCCCUGUCGGUCAGUUACUCAGUUUGUAGUAGAACUACACAUCUUUCCUAGACCUCCAUUGAAUUAGUUUUUCUUACUAGGUCAUAGUUGUUUGAUUAUUGGCAAACAAUCAUUCUUUACCUAUCCUUUUUGCAUCCGCAGAUUGAUCCGGCAACAGAGAGUUGAAGCUGCAAAGAAGCGUGAUGAGGAAAAAGCCGGUACACCACUACUCUUUGUAAUAUUUGGGAGAGGAUGACUAAUCUAAUAUUGCCAAGAUAUACGUUUGUUGUCCUUGACCUGAUUUUGAUGGCACUCAAUUUAUUUCAGCUUGGAGUUGGUUUGUAUUGUUUCUGCAAACAAUUGUCUGAACAUGUAAAUAAUAGUUGGUCACAAGUCAUAUGGGUACAGUGCAUCAUAACAACUCUGCCCCUACACAAUAUACAUCCCAUUACUUAUUUUUUUGGUAUGAUAAGUUGAGAAACAACUUGUUUUGUUGUUUUUUGAUGUGAACUACAUUAUAUGGACCUUUCACUCGAUUAUGUGCUAUUUUUUUACUAUAAUUGACAUGUUGAUAUGUCAUUCUAGAAUUUUGUUACUUCUGUUGGAACCUAAUUUUCAAUUUUACACCUUGCAGAAUUUAUGACUGGCAGAUUACAUGCUGGUUUCUUACUGCUUAGGUUUCGACAUUCGACAUUUGAACAAAUCAUAUACUGGAGAUUAUUAUAAUAGAAGGUAAACUUACCAAGCGAACAGAGCGAACAAUACUUUUGUUAGUGUUUUCCAGUCUGUUGCAUGCGCAUUGUGGUCACUACUGUCAAUCCAUGGAAAUUUAAAUGAUGGAUUAAACAAAUGGAACCUAUAUCCUGACUUGCCACUACUAUACUGUAGCUUCUGAAACACUUAUAUGCACAGAUAGUUUCUCUUUUAUCAUAACUGAAACAUUAUAAAGAUAAAUCUCACUCAGUUUUUAAGUGGGGAAGGGAAAGCUUCAAGAUAUUGCAUUUAAAACACUGAUAUCUAUUUGAAAAUUAAUUCAUGUGCAUACCUCCUGGAUCCUAUCAUUAUCAUGUCUCUAUUUCUCUUGUUCAAGAGAAGCGUGAAACAAAGCACUCAUAUUCACAGCAGCACAUACAGUUAUUCUAUGCUAUCAGAAAUAAGGUCGUUAAUAUUCAGAUAUAUGCAUGUAAACUUGGCCGGUUAAUCAUCAAACACACACACACACACACAAACACCACGCUGGAAGGUGGUAUUCAUGGUUGAUAGAUGUCCCUAUAAGAUUGUACAUUGUUCCUCUGAUCCAUUGCGAGGUAUAUAAAUGAUUCGAUUUUGACUUUAUUUUUUCAUCUUAGUUCACCUAGUGUUGGAUAAAAGUUGGACAGAUCCACAUAGGUAAGUCUUAUCCAUAUAAUGCUUUUACAAUCUGCCAGUGGAACUUUAAAUGAUACGAUUUACCAAUUUCAACGAUGUAUAUUAGCAGAUUAAGUAAAAGCAGUGUUAGAUAUGAAAUGAACUUAAUUCAACCAUUCUCUAGAAGAAAGUACCUAUUUGUCAUAUGGCGAUGUUAUCUUGUAGAACAACAAUAGGGAUUUGUUAACAUUCGACCUUUAUGCUGUACUUUUUCCAUUUUGAUUCGCCUACUGUUAAUAUCCUCUUCUUCAACUGACACAUUCUUGCAAGCUAUCACAAUUGAUGAAAUAUAAUUACGAGCACUUAGCUUUUUUGAAUUUUAUAUGCAUACCAGAAGAUUUACUCGUUACAAACAUUAAACAGACGGACCUCUUUUUCAACAAGUUGUUUCAAAUCCCACUGAGACAAAAUAAAAGUGUGCUACUGCUAAUUACUAUACUGGAACAGAAUGUAUGGUUGACAUAAAGGCUAUAUUGGAAUAUUUUAGCUGUUGUGGUGUUCCUAAUAACUUAAAACUGCUGUGAAGAUGAACUGAACAAUAAUACUCUCAAAUUAGAGAGCAAGAAAUUUCGAGUUAGUCUACUGUAGGGUAAUAAAGUUCUUAUAUAUGCUGCAAAUCAGUUGCCUUGUGGUGUAAUCACUGAUGUCAUGUUUCCAUAAGUGCCUGCUGUAAUGACCUUAAUAGUGCAAAGCUAUGUUUUAUAUAAAUUUGCCUAUUCUUUCCAGAGUGCAGGGAAAUGUAUGAGGUGAAUCAAUUUUCCUAUUCUGUUGUUGCUGCUAUAUUUAGGUGUAUGUGGGUUUAAGAUUGGACACUAAUUGUUGAACUAGGAGCUUUCCCUCGUUAGGAAUAUAAGCUGAAACUUUCCCAUUGCCUUGAUUCUUUGUAGGAAAGACAUACAAGAUGACCAGGAACCAUGAAGCUCGCAGUUUGCGUUAACUGUGUAAUGGAGAGGACUAUGAAUCGCUGGACAUGUGUCUAUUAGCUAUCAUAUAUGGUGUCUUGGUCAAGUGGAUAUUCUGUGUAAUGUAAGACGCAUGAUUUGUAGGACAUAUAUCUAUUGGCUAUCAUUUUGUAAACCUAUCCGGUCUCUCGGUCACUGAACCAUAAAUGUUUCCUCUUAAUUGGCUACCUCCUCCGUUUGUGAGAAGUAAUUAAUGUGCUAUUUUUGUUUGGUUUUGGUUUAAUAUUUUUGGAGUACAUGCAUGUUACUUUAAUUUGAUUGAUAUUGUACUGUAAUGAGAUAUAUUACUAGACGGACACUGUUUUGGU